rnacentral:lncRNA from 1 species
UACAGACCAAAAGAUAAGAACUUGUAAACUAAUACCAUAAUACAGUGCCGUCCAAAUACAAGAUUAAGAUUUCCUAUUACAACUAGCACUAUUCUUGUCCUUGUCAUCCCUGUACCCUGUUAAGGAAAACAAAUGAAGGGAUGAGCUAAAAGCUCAGUGAGGUUCCAAGAGAACAACAAGCAAUUAGGCAUAUUAGCAUUCACAUGAUAGCAUGAUUACAUUUUCCAUAAAGCACAUAACAUCCAGACAACUCAUUUAACCAUGUACAGCCGAUAACACAUACAUAUAAAAGGAUACAGUCUGUUCUCGGGAACAGGUUCCAUGACAACUUGUUCAGAAUCUGUUGACACUCCGUCAACCAUGGAAUCAUAAAAAAUCCAGUAGAUCACCACUUAACUCCAACCUCCAUCCACCAAUCAACCCCCUACCGGGCCCGAACUCCAAACAUAAAUAGUAGUGGUAAUACUCGAGUAUACCAAUUAGUCGAGGAGAUAACACUCCAUUCGACAAAACAGUAAACCCAGGGUUCGUUAUCUAAUCGACCAGGCCCUUACCGGCUCGACUCGAUUAACUCGCCUAUGGGGUUUAGGAUCCAGGCCGUUACUUUCAACUCAUGCUUGUGAAUCUCAGUUCACUUGUAAACAAUUCACUUAUAGUAGUAAAACAGGAAUUCAGUCAAGUUAGGUCGAGUGUGAUAAAGUACACACUCACCUAUGUAAUAACAAGUCAAUUCAAGUAACAAGUCAUAUACAGGUCAUAUUUGCGCAACAAGUAGCAUGGAACUUGCAGUUGGAACACUCACUAAUUCAAGCAAAAAUAGCGUCAAAAGUUUCCUCCUGGAUUGCCCCCUUGAUCAGACAAGCCCUAAGAAUAACCAAGUGAACAGAAUUCAUAAUUUAGACUCGACUAUGAGUCGUAUACCUCUCCAAGUUAAAUUUUUUUUUUCAAAACCCAACAUACACAGCCAUAUUUAGAAUGCAAAUCAGGGAAAAAUUUAAGUAUAUUCUAGGGCAAAAACUCAAGUAAGGUUUUGAAGCGUAUGAGAGCAUUUUGGACUCAAGAAACAUGAAUAACCAACAAGUUCCUUAUUCGCUUCAUGGCGGGAAAUUUUCCAGCGGCGAACCAAUGAAAGAAACAAGGUUUUCUCAAGUCAAGUCAGCGAGGUUGUGUCCAAAAGACUUUCAAACUAAAGACGUUGAGGCUAAAAGGUAGCAAGGUGCAAAAUUGCCCUCCAAAUCAGAUUUUUUUCGCAGCCAUGAAACAAGUACAAUCAUGAGGUUUUCACCUCCCAAUCUUCAUAGUUUUCACUCAAAUUCAUGCCCAAAAGGCUCCUCCAAAGUUUGGAACAAGUUUUGGCCAAAACCAAUUACUAAAAGGUUAGAAAAACAACAAUGUAAUAGACUGCACUCUCCAUCGACAAACAAGCACAAUUUUAGCCAGCAAUUUGGAAGAAAAUCCCAAUGAAACCCUUCCAUUUCAACCAAAAUGUAAUACAUAAGCAAAGUUUAAAGGUUCACUAAGCAUAUUAAGCAAGUACAUCACCAAAUCAGUCCAAAAUCAAGGCAGUAAGCUGCCCCAAAAUUUGGACAGCAUAACCCCUGUUUUAUCCUAUAUUUCCUCUCCAAAUUCAAUACAAAAUUUCAUGGCCAAACCAUCCAAAUCAAGACCACAAAUGAUAGGCUAUACAAGCUACUAGUUUCAGACCAUAAAGGCACCAAAAAUAGACAAGUAUUCAACUCACAUGUCUCCGUACCAAGGCUGGCCAUCAAGCAAAAGCUCAACUCUACAAGUUGAAAUUUCCAUAAGCAAACUAAUAGAACAUGUACAAACUAGAAAAAUCACAUGACAUGGCUAACAUUUAUAUUCUACAUUAUAUUAACAUAUUAACACUCAUUUUCCUCAACUAAAAUUGGAAAUUUAUCGCUUGGGACAUGAAACAUGUAAAAGUGAAGUUUUCACCUCUCAACCUUUCAUUUUCUACGUCAAUUCACUACUCAUACCAAAAUUAAUGUCUAAUCAUAUGUUUAAGACAUUAACAAGAUGAUUUCACCACACAAAGCCAAUUGUAAAGCUAAACAAAAUCACUAUCUCUUUCGGUCAGCCUUAAGUAGAAUUCCAGCUAUGAAAACAGUGAAAUAAAUGGAGUUUAAACCACUUAAGAUCCAUGGUUUUGGUUCAUUUCCAACACAUACUUGUAGUUUAAAGUCUUAUAUGGUAUUUUGAGCAAAUUGAGCUUAAAAUCAUCUUGAAAAUUUAACAAUCAAGGCUGAAAUUCCAGCAAGCAUUAUUUCUUUGGGAAAAUCAUAACUUGAGUUAUAAAUGUCAAAAACUUAUACAACUUGGCUCAUUUAAAACUAGACUUAAAAUACUAACAAUCUUUGAAAAACACCUCAAGGAGAUUCAGUUCAUAAAUUAGUCCAAAUUGAGGCACAAUUUACUACAACAUCCCAGUUUUUAUUUGUGCAGGGCGCAUUUUUCAGUCAACUUGGGCGAUUUUCUGGUGCAUAUGUAAAACGAACCACAGCUCCAAUUUUAUACCGUUAGAAAGAUCUAUGAGUCUAGUUUCAAACGCAAUUGACGGCACUCAAUUUCGAUUUUUUUACACUAGAUUAUGAUCAUUUUACUAAAACUGCCCAGGGGUGACUGUCACCCGAAAUUCAACCUUUCACUUGAGUUAUUCCAACUUUAUUGCUACCACUAACUCACAUCUAGGCCAGCCAUUUGCUACCAAAUUCAAAGACAACAUGCUAUAUAUCAUACUAAACAAGAAAUAUAACAUUUAGAGCAUGACUUCCUAGGGAAAACUGUGAGAACCCGUAAAACCCUAAUAUUUUCCCUAGGGUUUAUUUCCCCUUACUUGCAUGUUUUCUGCAUUUUCUGGCUUAGAAAUAUUUUCUUAGUGGAUUUUAUGAUCAAUUAUAGUUUUAAGAUGAUUUUUCUAGUAUUGGAGAAUUUUUAGAAAAUUAAGAGUAAAUAGUGGACGUGGGACCCACUAGUGCGAAAAGUUCAGAAAAAUUCGGCCAAUAAGGUUAAGUUUCGGAUACUGUGUAAAAUUUAUCGGGUGUUAAGUGAUAAGUAGAGUGUGUGAAGUGAUUGAUGUGAGAGAGAAAAGAAAGAUAGGAAGGCAUUUAAUGAGAUGCCACAUGUCACUUUCUCAUUGGUUAUGACUUAAGAAACACUAUUCACCUUUUGACAAAUUUUUGACUUUUGACCCAAUUAGUAAAUAUCUUCAAAAAUUCAUUAAAAUUCCCUCAUUUUCUUUCCACCAUAGCCGGCCCUCUCAAGCUCCAAGGAAGACAAAACUCUUCAACAUUCAAGCUUCUAACAAGUCCAAAUCCACCAAAUCAAGUGUUUAACUUAGUUUUUGCUCCAUAAAAUCUUACCUUUUAGUGAUAGUGAGUGCUUUAGUGAAGCUUGUUUGAAGGUUUAAGGUGUCCAACAUCCUCCUCUCUCUUGUUUCUUGGUAAGUGAUGCUUCAACCUCUCCCCUAUAGUUAAUGAUGGUUAUUUUGUACUUAAUGGUGGCAUGGGUGUUGAAAUAUAUGAUUUGUUUCUUGAUUUGAGGAGUUUUGGAGAAGUUUUUAUUUUAUUGGGAAUUUUUCUGAUUUAAUAUGAAUGGGAUGUUGUGGCCUUGUAUGAUGAAUUGUAAUGGUUGAUAAUGACUCUAUGAGGUGUAUUGGAUAGGAAAAUGCAAUCAAUUUUGGAUUUGGUGUGAAAAUUGAAAAGUUAGGGUUCAUAGAAUCCCAUUUCUGUCCGGUUUUAGAUCACUGGGUUGGAGGCCGAAUUGGACUUUGCUCAAAACAUGAAAGUUGUAGGUAUUGAUGUGUUUAAGGUGCCUGUAAAAUUUCAGGUCAUUUGGAUGAGUGUGGAGUGAGUUAUGCCGUUUCUACUGUAGCUGUUCUGCAUGGAGCAGAAUGUGAAAACUGCGAUAGUAAUUGGCCUUUUUGACUGGAAUUGGUUUGGAUUUUGAAGUUGGUGUCUUCUGAUGAAAUGUAGCUGAAUGUCUUAUCUAACAUAUGCCUUUGGAAUUUUGGCAAUUGGACUUGUAUGGACUGAGAUAUACCGAUUACAGUUUUCUGCGUUUUGCAAACCUGUUUUGGGGAUUCUGGUAUAGUAUUUCGUAUAUUUGACCUAGUUGUGUUAGGAACUGGAUUGAAUGACCUUCUACAAUGUUGUAACCCUGUUUCUUGGAUUCGAAACGGUGGGUCUUACACCCCCAUCCGAUAACCGUAGUGAAAUUGACGCCAUUACCGCAUAAUAAGUGUAAAACAGUUUUUCUUAAUCGGGGCCAAGACUAUUGCUAAUUUUAAUUUCUGGUUUGCUAUCGUGUUCAUUUAUGCAUAUGAAACCCUAUUGGGGUUGUGUUUAGCAUUGUUUGGUGACUCGUUCUCGAGUCUCAUUGUAUGUGUUACAUGUUUUAGGGCGUGACGGUAGCUCACGACGUCUUGGUGACCACGGUGUAUGAAACACCACUUUCUCACUUGGUGAGUAUAUUACUCACUAACUGGUUACUAUGUGGCUUUGCUAAAUGCUUAUGUGAAGCCUUGAAGGCUUACUUGCAUAUUGGAAUUGAUUAAGGUGAGGGUGUACUUGACCGCCCUCACCUCUUUUGAUAUUGUCAUUGAUUGGCUACCGUUUUAUUGCAUUAUUGAACUUGAUAUAUUGGUUGGUGAAUUCCAUUUCAUGGAAACUGAAUUGAUGUCGUUUGGACGAUGUCCAACGGCCUUACUGCAUUACUGAGCUCAACCCCGUUUGGUAGUCAAUCGAAUCGAGCCGGCGAGGGCUUGGUCGUGAAGAUUGAAUUGCCACGGGGACUGUACUGGGGAACCUUGUGGUAAUGAGACCCUUGGUUCCGGUAAACUCGAGUAUUACCAAAAACUACUGAAAUGAAGUGCGGGCCCGGUUGGGGUAUGUUAGGUGGAAGGAUUGGAAGUAAAGGGUGGUCUACGGUUUGGUACUUUUAACAUUGACGGAGAGUCAAUGAGGUUGGAUCAAGAUUGCAAGCGUGGAAAUGGGCUCUUGAGAGCCGACCGUAUCCUUUUACCGUUUUGCUUCAUUGCUUAUUUGUGCACUUUAAAUGAAAGUUCAUUCUUAUAUGACUUUGAUUGCUUAUUGGGUGGUAUACCACUGGGCUUUAGCUCAUUCCGUGUUAUUUGUUUUCCUUACAGGGCGAUAAUUACUUUUGAGAAUGGAUUGGUUAGUCAAUUGCCGAAUUGAGCAUGUAAAAGUCUUUUGUAUUGCUCUUGAAGUGAAACCCUAAUGUAUAACGGGUUCAUUUCCUUUUGAUAGGCAAAUCGAAUGUGUACUUCCUUAGUGAAUGAUUUUGGUAGGCCGUUUUGGCUUGUAAAUGUUGAAUUGAUGUAUAUAUAUAUGUUUGGUAAAUGUUUGGAUGGAUUUCGGAUCAAUGCGAUUUCAAACGAAAAGGGAAAAAAAUUUGGCGUGGAUGAACAGUGUCGAAUCCGGCCAGGAAUCCGGCCAGAAACUGGCCGGAUUGAAGGCCGGAUUGCCUGAGAAAAAUUGGAAAUCCGGCCAGUUGCAUUCGGCCUGGAAUCCGGCCAGACAAUCCGGCCGGAAUCUUGGCCGGAUUGCCGGCCGGAUUGCGAGGGAAAAUUGAAUUUCUUGGUUUUGCUCUCGGCCUUGUAUCCGGCCGAGAAUCCGGCCGAUUCCGACCGGAUUCUGACGUGUCUUCUACUGUUCACUUCGGCUUCAACUUUCAUUUUUUUUUAUUGUGCGAUUGUGACUUGUUUGCGCGCAUUGUUAUGUUCCGGAACGUAAUAGACCGACGUAAACUGUACCGUUAGUCCUGGCGAGAGCUGGGCAGGCAGUCCGCUAACCCCUUUGGUUCGCCUUAGGGGAAGGUGGGGCUGUCACAGGUGGUAUCAGAGCCUAGGUUUGAAUUAGCCUGGGUGUUAUAGGAAUUCUUGAUCUGAGGGUUUAUUGUUUAUGGUUUAUAAGCUUAUUGAUUCUUAUUUUUACACUUUUGGUGUAGGAUGGACAGUUCCAGUGGACCUAGUGAUGGCCCUGCGGCCAAGCGACCCCGUGUAGCGCUCCCGAUGAUUAAGUACCAGAUCCGGCCAAAGGGGGCCGUUAUUCGUUGGAGCCCGUCUAACCGUCUUCGGCGGUGCGCGUGUAAGGAGAAGUAUGCUUACUCGAAUGCCCUCGUUUUGGCAGUUGUGAAGGAAAGAAAGGAGCUGGCAAAAGCUAAUGCCAAGCUUGAGGUUGAGGUGAAUCAGUUAAAGGCGGCCAACGAGGGGCAAGCCAAAAGGAUAGAGGAUCUGAAGUACGAUGUACUAGAGGCGGAGGAUAGAGUCGAUGACCUCUGUGCCCAGCUGAGGGAGGCGCGUGAACGCGAGUCUAAGAGGGCUCGGAAGGUGAGGACUCGAGCCGCUGCAAUCCUAAACCUCUGUGCCGAGGUGGUGGAAGGAGUGAGCGAUAAGGACUCCUGUGCGGGGUCUGAGGCUAGGGUUGGAUCCACUCCGUCGAGUGGGUCUCAUAGCUCAUCUUCGGGCUAGGUUAUGACUCCUAGAGUUGUUAUAGAUAGUUUUGGUCUUGUGUAUAGGGCGGAUAGGGAUAGAGCCUUAGCUAACCGUUUUGGAUGUAGGGUUAGCUACGUGUAAAUCUCUUUUGAUAGGCCUAUCCUCAGGUGGAUCUUUUGUGUACGUACGUGCUUUGGCCGUACUUGACUGACUGCUUGUAUAUAUAUGUUUGGCUUGUAUAUAUGUGUGCUUGUGACCCUGUUUGAAAUGUAUCAAUAUGUGUUAUGUGAAAGUUUAUGUGUUACUUACCUGCUUUAUUACUGCUUUGGUUUAGUACUUUUGCCUAGACCGAGUGAAUUUAUGGAAGGAACACGAAGUGGUCGGGGACGCGGGCGCGGAACUAGACAAACCGCACCGGUUAGGGAAACGGGGGAACCCUCUACUGGACCUAACCCUGGACCGCAAUUAGACCCCAAUGUGCAAAUCGCUGCUGCUAUGCAGCAAAUGACCAACCUACUCGCACAAGUAGUGCAACAACAGGGCCAAAACCCAAACCCUAACCCUGGAAACCCUGGCCAUCAUGUCGAGAGUGAAGAUAGAGCGCUAGAACGGUUUCAAAAGUUUUCUCCGCCAAAGUUUAUUGGGGGACCCGACCCUGAUGUGGCUGAGAAAUGGCUUGAGAAAAUGGUUGAUAUAUUCGCGGCCCUACACUACCCGGACGAACGGCAGGUCACUUUUGCCGUGUUUCAACUUGAAGGGGCUGCCCGUUCCUGGUGGAACGUAAUUAGACAGAAAUGGGAACGGGAGCAGACACCGAGGACUUGGGUGAACUUCAUCCGGGAAUUUAAUGCCAAGUUUUUCCCUCCCUUAGUCCAGGAGAGGAAGGAAGACGAGUUUAUCCGGCUCUGGCAAGGGGCUCAGACGGUGGCGGAGUACGAGAGCCAGUUUACCCGCCUGUCCAAAUUCGCGCCUGAACUGAUCAUGACUGAGCAACGACGGGUGAGGUGCUUCAUUCAGGGUUUGAAUGUGGAGAUCCAGAAAGACCUCGCGGCGGCUCAAAUCACUACAUUUAGCGAGGCAAUGGAGAAGGCCCAACGGGUUGAGAGUGCACGGCUUCAGGUCCGAAACUUCCAGGCUAAAAAGCGUGGUUUUCCUGGGAGUACAUCUGGACAGGGUGAGAAGAGCACUCCCUCUAAGUUUGGACGAGGCACGGGAGGUGGUCGACAAUCUGGACCAGGCAGAGGGACUCCGUUCAGGGGCGGCCAAGCUGGGCGAGGACAAAGGGGAAACGCUCGGAGUGGCUCGGCUUUGGCACCUCGCGGUCCCUGUGGGCACUGUGGGAAAGCAAACCACACCGAAGAUGAUUGCUGGAGGAAACUGGGUAAGUGCCUGCGGUGUGGAAGUGCGGACCAUCAACUGGCUACAUGCCCGGUCCUGAAACAAGACGGAAAGGGAAGCCAGCUACCGUCGAGGACCAAUACUGGACCAGCCAAGGGAGACGGAUCCAAACCAAAGGUGCCAGCUAGGGUGUAUUCCUUAGAGCCCCAUCAGGUCCCAGAGUCUUCCGAGGUGGUGGAAGGUACGAUCCCUAUUUUCCACCGCUUUGCCAAAGUUUUAAUUGAUCCUGGUGCCACUCAUUCGUUUGUUAACCCUGACUUCAUGUGUGGCAUCGAUAUAAAACCUGCUAGUUUACCAUAUAACCUAGAGGUUAGUACACCGACGGGGAAUCAACGUUUGGUGACUAGUAUGGUUUAUAAGGAUUGCGAUGUAUGGGUAGGUGAAAGGAGGUUCUUAGGAGACCUGAUUAGUUUGUCCAUUAAGGGGUACGAUGUGAUUUUGGGUAUGGACUGGUUAGCUAAAUAUAACGCCCAACUGGACUGUAAAACGAAAAUAGUUGAAUUUCGCAUUCCUGGCGAGGCAACCUUAAGGUUAGAUAUAAGGGGUAGGUUAGCCUCAUCUGCUCUCAUUUCGGGCAUUCGAGCUAGGAAAUUGAUAAGUAGAGGGGCGUAAGGAUUUUUGGCCUUCUUAAUUAAUACCCCUACGGAUAAGUUAAAGGUAGAAGAUGUGACCAUAGUGAGGGACUUUCCGGAUGUUUUUCCUGACGAGUUAGUAGCCCUACCGCCGGAAAGAGAGAUAGAAUUUCGAAUUGACCUUUUACCUAGAACUGCACCUAUCUCAAAAACCCCUUACCGAAUGGCGCCUGCAGAACUUAAGGAGCUUAAGUUGCAAUUGCAAGAUCUGUUGGAGCGCGGUUUCAUUCACGAGAGUGAGUCUCCUUGGGGAGCUCCUGUUAUAUUUGUGAAGAAAAAGGAUGGAACCUUGAGGAUGUGCAUUGACUAUCGGGGUCUAAAUAAUGUAACGAUCAAGAAUAAGUAUCCACUGCCCCACAUCGACGAGUUGUUCGACCAGUUGCAAGGAGCAGUGGUCUUCUCCAAGUUGGACCUCCGACAGGGAUAUUACCAGUUGUUGAUUAGGAAGGAGGACAUUCCGAAAACUGCUUUCAAUUCAAGAUACGGGCAUUACGAGUUCGCCGUUAUGCCCUUUGGACUGACUAAUGCUCCCGCCGCUUUCAUGGACCUAAUGCAUAGGGUUUUCAAACCCUACCUGGACCGAUUUGUCGUUGUGUUCAUUGAUGACAUUUUGGUCUUCUCUAAGACACGCGAGGAGCAUGAGGAGCAUUUGAGAGUGGUACUGCAGACGUUACGGGAACAUCAACUGUAUGCCAAGUUUAGUAAAUGCGAGUUCUGGUUGGAGAAAGUAACGUUUCUAGGGCACGUGAUCUCCCACGAAGGUAUUUCGGUGGACCCGGCGAAGGUUGAGGCCGUGACAAAUUGGAAGAGGCCCGAAACCCCCACGGAGAUUCGCAGCUUUCUAGGGCUAGCUGUGUGAGGACUCGCAAAAACUAUUAUUUUAUGCCUAAUUUAUGGCUUAAUAAAUUAUUUAAUUGGAUUUCAUUUCCAAGGAAUAUUUUCUAGUCUUAUUAGACCCAAAUAAGUGGUAAUAUAAUUUCGUUAUAUUUUUAAAAUGAUUCGUUUCGAAAAUUAAUUUCCUAGAGCGCGUUUAGUAAAAAUAGUGAAUAGUACUUGGAGAUUUUAUCCGCGUAGUAGCACAAUAAGCUUGGAAUAUUGGAGACUUGUACUAGGAUCCUAAAAUAGGUAAUUUUAUGAAUAAAUAUUCAAGUGAUAGUUAGUAGUGCAAUCGUUAUAGGAAUUUUUCGAAAGUUCUGCGUAUAGCGGUAAAAUUUGACGGUACGCGUUUUCACACGCGCGACUUCAUUUGAGGGACUUUAGACCCUUAUUCCGGGACAACUAAGAGUGAAUAAUAUUUACAAGAAUACAUAUGCCUUGGAGGUUUAGUGCACUAGUGAACCAAACGCGCGAGAAAAUCGAGCCUAAAAACGUGCCAAACGAGCCUUACAAGAGUUGACUUUGGAGCAAUUUUUCACCACACAUUUAAUCUUCUUGGAGAAGCUAACUUAGAUCAAACACACUCUCUCUUCUCUCUCCUCACAGCCGGCCAAGCUCUCCCUUCUCUCUAACUCAUUUGCAACAAAAAAUUCUGCACACUAACCUCACUCAAAACCACCCCAAAUCACCUCCAAAUCACACCAAACUUGGAGACCACUUAGCACACCACCUGGAGACUAUAUCUAGCUAAGGAGGAGGGGAGCUUUCACGGUUUCUUGGAGCUUCAAGAGGGCCGAAAAUUCUGACCUUGCAAACCAAAGGAGUAGGUAAUGAUCAACCCUUGGAUUCUUAUCUUUUGGAGAUUAUAUGACAAGAUUAAGCUCAUGCAUGCACUUAGUUACUUGUUUAUGGUGUAAAAAUGUGAUUGUGGGCUCUUGGAAUUCCCACACUUGGGUUGUUGUUGCUGAUGUGAUGAUUGAUGGUGAUUAUAUUGUUGGUUUAGUGGUUAUAAUGAUGCAUUAGUGGUGGGUAAUUAGUAGGAACUUCAUUGGGUGUAAGAAGCAAAAACUUCCGAUUUUGCCCCUGCCAUGUUCGGCCAUUUCCAGGCCAAUUUUUAAUGGUUUAAUGGCUUGAAUUGGAUGCUUAUAUGAUGUAUUAGAGGUGUGGAAAAUUUUAUUGAAAAAUAAUGAGGUUUGAAUGGGCAAAUGAAUUUUUUUUUUUGAAACCAGCAAAUCUGGAAAACUGAUUCGCGUAUGCUCUGACCAGCAGUAGUAUUUUGGCUAUAACUCUGUCCUCGGAUGUCGAAAUCAUGUGCCGUUGGUGGCGUUUGAAACUAGACAUUCCUAGCUUUAAUUUGGUAUAUAAUGCACGUUCUGAGUCUUUGUGAGCAGGCCGAACCAAAUGUUUUAAGUUCGAUGUCCUGUCACUCUGUUCAUCUGGAAUGAAGUGUGCAGGCUGCAACUUGAUGCCCGAAUUUGAACCAGAUGGGUGCCGAAUUUGGAAACAAUUUCUUCUAUGAUAUUUUAACUCUAUGAAUGUAUUUUCCAACGGCAUAAGCCAUGCUCAAUUUCGAGCUAUAUUGACUGAGUUGUGACUAAAACAAGUGGACUGCUCUGUUUUGGAAAACCCUAAUGUUUGGACUGGUUUGGAACAAAAUCUCGGAGUGAACUUGUUAGUUGAUGUUUUUGAUAUUAAACACUUACCAAAGGUAUCAUGGGUAUAUCUUAGACCCUUAUUUCACAAAUGAACCAUGGUUGGAUAACUUUCUUGGUUAAACGAUUGGAAAUUUGGAAAAUGAAGGUCCAAGGCAGAUUGCCUUAGGAUUUUUCUUGAACUUCGGUUGGCUCAUUAACGACCUUGCCGAAGGUAUUUUUCCCCGAAAUUCGAUAGAGAGAUACCUUCCAUAUAGUAUUGAAACACUGCCAAUUUUGGUGCCGAUUCAAGUUCGUUUCGAUACCCAAUUGAAUUACUAAAGUUAGAGGUUCAAAUCUGGAAAAUUCUCAUCCAGUCUUGAAUUUGCUCAACUUCGGGCUACCGUAUCUCGGUGCUCGAAACUCCGAUUUUUGAUCCGCUUAUUUUGUCCUACACUUCACUUGCAACACUAAUUGAGCUGAAAAUUUCAGAGGCCGGUUUGCAACGUGCGAAUCGUGCCGAAUUUUCAAAGUUGGCCAAAAUCCAACUUCAUUCUGCCUUGUGAACCAACCCAGCAUCUUCAAGCUCAAUUUUGACCACUUUUCACUUUGAUUCAUGGAAAAGUGUCUUCUAGGAACUUAUAGUACUCUCUAAGAGGUUUCCAACGGUAUAAAGUUUUCCAAUUCUCGACUUAUGCCGAGCGAGUUAUGAUUUUUCAAAGAUUUAUCGUAAAACUGAAAAAAAUUUUCCAACUUCAAAGAAAUAGAGUUUUUCAAGAACUCUUUAUUCUUUUGAUAUUCUUAAACGUUUUGCUUACGAUUUUCAAGAUAAAAACUCAAAUAAUAUUGUACCUAAUAAAAGGCAAGUUGAACCUCGAUUUACGUGUAAUUGAGGUUCCUUUUUGCAAAAUAAUUCUUAGAUUGUACUAGUGUACAAUCUUCCUGAUAAGUGGGUUAAUUGUAUGAUUUCGCCAUUUAAUUGUCAGGCGCGCAAGGAGACCUUCAAGAGGAUCUCACCGCGGACACUUGAACUCCCAGAAAAUAAUUCUUAUUGAAUUGCUCGGUGAGUGUCAAGUGUAUAAAUUUGAUACUUGCUAUUGUGAUACUUGUUGGGAGUUUUAAAAAUAAGGGCGGGUGCGUACUUUAUCGCACUCGUUCUAAUUUCAAAUGAAUGAAUGAAUGAAUGAAAUGUAUUGAAUGAAUGAAUGAAAUGCAAUGUCAUGUCAUGAAUGAUUGUGUCGUUGGAGUGAAUCUCCUCGACUACCAAAUGAAUGGGGGACGCCCAAACUCAUAGGCCGUCCUUAGACUCGAGCCGGCAAUGGGCUUGGUCGGGAACUUGGGCGAGCCAUGAGAUUAUAAGCUCGACCUAAUAAGAGGUCUUGCUUGGCAUACUCGUCGAGUAUCGCCCUAAAAAUAGACUUGUGGGCCCUUGGGGUGUACGGUGGACGGAGGGAAGAAAGUGGUGAUCUACGGAAAUGGAAAUACCGACCCGGUUGACAGGAGGGUCAAUGCGGGAAAGUAUACGAAUGACAUCGACAGAUCGAGUGGGACUUAGCUCCUGAGAGCUACUAUAUCCUUGAAUUGUUUCUGAUUACUUUUCCUGUUUGAUAGAUUGAUUAUUGAAAAGACAUGGCUUUAUUUAUUAAAGUUGGGAUUGUUAUUUGAUUACGUGCUUGCAUGUGUGUUCUUGGCCUCACGAGCGUUAGCUCACCCUAUAGUUUUGUUUUCCUUAACAGGACCGACUCUUGGAGAAAUAUGGAGAAACCAUCCGUUGAAUUUUGUUAAGACUCCUGUUAUGUAUUUUGACUAGGCCCUGGUUUGGGUUGUACUUUUGGAAAUUGUAAACUUGAAAAGUUUGGGCCCUGAUGUGUACUUUGAAUUUAAGUCGUUUCAUGAUUACCCGAUGUACUGGAUAUACAUUAAGUGACUUAUUAAGCUUGAACGCUUCCGCAUUAUUGUAUUCAUGUUGCUCUCAUCGAAGUGUUUAGUUCGGUUUGAAUUUGGAUGGAAUUGCUUGAGUCCUGGCGUGAGCUGGGCAGGCGUCCGCGGAUACCCUUUGGUCCGCCUUAGGGAGAUGUGGGGCGUCACAGUUGGUAUCAGAGCUUAGGCUUCAGAUCUCUGUAGCGUAUCCUAGGCUUAAAGUUUAGGAUGCCUGACUGUGGGAUUAAUUUGGAUAUUAUGUGACAAGGAUCUAUUGUAUCUUAGGGGUUAAAGAAAUUUAUUAUUUGGGAGUUCUUAUUUGGGACUGAAAAUCAUAAUAGUGCAAUGGCUAAAACAUCAUGCUAAAUAAAAUCAGUGAAGAUAUCAAAGGUGAGAAAUGACACAAACUUUAAUCUCGAUAAAAGAAGAGUUAAAACUUGGUUACUAUUCUUGCUAGCUCUAAACCCAUACACUGUCCAUUGAAUAAUUCUUUCUUUCGACUGACAAACGAAAAAUUUUCACUUAACUUGAAGACUAAAAUAUAGGGAGAGACUCAUGGACAAGGAUCCAACACUGCCCAACACACCAAUAUUUAAUAGCACUUAUUAAAAUAACAGGUACCAAGUCCACUGUUCAUAACGGGAAAACAGCUUACUACAUGAAAUUUCACUACAUACAGUCCAAUGAUCACAACUAUUUCAGGCAAGAUCUCACUAAUGGCUAACUUGAAAAAGGAUGUCCAGAAAUGCUAUUCGACUAGCCAAAUGCACUAAUUCAAACUUAUUGCGUGCCCCUUAUGGAAUCCCUUCAUAUUACUUUUCAAUUCUAUGUUCUGGUACAGUAGUUCAAUCUUAUCCAAGUAUUCUUGUUCCCACCGUCCUUCUCAGUGCUCAGUUAAUCUCUUUUAAAACUCUACUUUUUUUCGAAUAAUCUCUAUUUUCUUAUGCAGAUCUGUCACUUUUGUUACCUUGCCGACUCAUUUAACUCAAUGAUAGCUUAUCAGGCAACUCUAAUUACAAUUGGUUUCAUGGAACUUUUAGUCAUAUAACUUUUAAGUUCAUUCAUUUCUAAUCCAACCACGAGGAAUUAAACUUAGCUACUCUCAAAUGGGAUAGACGAGAAAGUAGAACACAAGUGGAACAAUACUUCAAAAUACCAUGUCACUUGUUCCUAUUCUGGAGUAUUAACACAAGGAGUACCAUUGUCACUUACAUACAUAACGAAUCCCUAAAGCGUACUUUGUAUGUCGAAAGCUCCACAUCCUAUCUCAAGCUCUUGCAUACAGGUAUAGAACCCAAUUCUUUUCUCAAAUCCCCAUGCAUAAUUCCAAAACUCACGAUCUUGCCACGAUAAUAAUCGAGUCAAGUCCAUACUUAGACAUUAGUGGAUAGUUGUCAAGGAAGUAUAGAAAAAAUAUCACAAGAGGAUAGAAAUAUCCAUAUAAUUGCAAUCAAACCGCCUCACAUUCGAAAUAAACACUUAUCAAGUCUUCACAGUCAUAGGAGAAGGAAAUAGGUCUUCAAUGCAAAUUUCUCAACAUACACUACAAUCUAGCCACCGUCUAUAGAAACUCUAACAGACUAUUUCUAGAUUAGUCCAUGAUAACUUCCGAGAUCUAUUCCCUCAAUCAGUCCCAUUACCAGGUCAAAUAUUAGAAUCUUUCGCGCCUUGACUUUUGCCAUUAAAACUUAUCUCAAGUGCAAUCAAGAUAUAGACCCUUAGUCUAGUGCUCUCCACUUUUUGGUACUCAAGUACAAGAAUCCACAAUAAGAUAAUUCACAACUCGAGCUAUUAGAGUUCCAAGGGUAAAUCACCAAUAUUAGAGAUUCCUACCUGACAUACAUAUCUAUUUUUCCCAAGUACCUUGAUAAAGGGUUUACGCUUAUAACAGUCAUGAUUCAUAACUUACGCCCAAGAAGAUCACCUAGUGCUUUCCACUUACUCACAUAAUCGGGACAAUAACACCAUUUGACCCCCAAACUCACUCCGCGCAGAGACCACGUGAAGCAGCAAAAAUAUCUUCCUUUCUUUCAAACCAGUUCUCGACAGUUUCAGAAUCUGGUCCUCCAAGAAAUUUAGGAGGAACGAAUUUUUGGAACCGUUCCAGGGCCCUAUCUUCGACUACUUCAGGGUCCCUUUUACUGGUUACCAAGUACUUGACCUUGCUGGUCAACCAAACGGGCCAAUAAAUCAGUCAUACGAUUGAUAACUGUAGCUACCUGGUUCCCUUCUUCACCUCUGGGUCCCUGGUCUUGGUUUGCCACAGAACUUUGUUCCUCCUAUUGGUUCUGGGCCUAUCUAGAUCCAGGCCCACAACCCCGACCACGUUAUCAUCUAGUUUCCAUUAUUACUCACUGGUUUAGACCUAAGUAUUAUAACUAACGGGGUAAGCAAGUAUGGGUAUAUACUAGAUACUCAUUUAUAUUUAAAAGUCAAAUAAAAAUGCAAUCGGAGUCACGAUAAGCAAGUUAAAACGUAAAGCAGUUAAAUGCCAAUGCCGAAAUAAAGUCAAAGUCAAAGUCAAUGCCAAGGUCAAAGUCAUAGUCACAGCCACAGUCACAGUCAAAGUAUUAUACAUUCAAAGGCUCAUAGCAGUUGUUUACAAAAUAACAAGACCAAAAAUAUCAAGUACGAGUCUCAAAAAUACAGAUACAGCUAUACAGUCAUAUCAAGUAAAAAUCUUGUGUAAGUGGCCAAAAGAAAGCAGUACAACUACCGAGUCACCACAUCCCUCAUUCUCUCUAUGUACAGUAGUCAAAAACACCCAAAAUAGUGGCCUAGAAGUAAAGGCUUAGUCCGCCGUGGGACUAGCUGACCCCUCAGCCUGGGCAGGUUCAGCUCCUGCCUCGCCUCCAAUGUAGAAAGCCUCAUUGCUCACAUCUCAAAGUAAGUCAUCACAAAUAUUCAAAAUCGAUUCAGCUCUAUUCCUCACUUUCAUGGUCCUCUAACCAUGCGCUCUUGAGCUUCUCCAAACUGUGCACAAAGGUCAUCAACCCUUUCUCGGCCCUCGACCACAUCAUACUCAAGCUCCUUAAUCCGAUCAGUUUGCGUUUUAAUAGUUUCCUUCAGUUGAUUCACUUCAGCUUCAAGCCUAGCAUUAUCGCUUGUAAGCACCUUCCACUCCUUCACAAUGGCCAACACUACUUCAUUAGGAUAGGUAUAAAUAUGCAGACACUCACACCGCCUGUGGCGGUUAGAUGGGUUCUAAUAGGCUCUAGCUUCUCUGGGUCUGAUUCGAUACUUAAUCAUCGAUAUAUCCCCACGAUAUGGCUCGCCAUCCGUCCCGUCCAUCCUACAAAAGUGUAGAGGAAACUUAAGUGCUCUUAAGGGGAAAUAGUCUAAUAUAAUCCUUAAGUCAAAAAUUUCUAAUUCACUUAGGUCAAUUCAAACCUAGGCUCUAAUUUUUAUCCUACCAGCAAUCACCAAAUCCCACAGGCUGGCAUCCUAAACUUUUAAGUCUAGGCUGCUCUAUAAAGAUCUGAAACCUAAACUCUGAUACCAACUGUGACAACCCCACCUCUCCCUAGGGCAAACCCUAGGGUAUCAGCGGACUGCCUGCCCAACUCUCGCCGGGGUUCAGUCGAUCAAAGUACUAAUAAUUCAAAUGAAGCGGACGAAACAUCUUCCAUGCAAGGUAGUGUAACCUUAAAUAAAACAUAAUCAUUUCACCAAUUCUCCAAAAGGUUAGUAUACAUAUAGCCAAAAGUCAACUUACAUAACAAGAGUCAAACUUAUAGGUUUAAGCUUAAAGAGUCAAAAGUAAGGUCUACUUAAGCAAAAGUUACAAUCCCAAAUACAAUUCCAAAACUAUGUAAAGUUAAGAAAGCUCUUGAUCAAAUCCAUCCCCGAUCUGUUAAGAAAAACAAAGGGAGUGGAGUGAGCUAACGCCCGUGAGAUUCCAAGUAAAAUGAGUAAACACAUAGCCAAAUAAGGUCACAAAAUAAUCAAAUAAACUCCAUACAGUAAGCUAGUAAUUUAAUCACAAUUCAAUUCAAGGAUACGGGUGGCUUUCAAAAGCCAAUAACCACUGGAGCUUGAUCAUAACUGGAUCCGUUGACUCUCCGUCAACGUUUGUAUUCAUAGAAUGCAAGUCCGUAGAACACCGCUUUCACCAAUCUCCGUCCACCAAUCAAACCACUACCGGACCUGCAUGUCACAAACAGUAGUUUGGUAAUAUUCGAAUAUACCAGGAAUCCAAGAUUCCAAAGAAACAGAAUCAAGUCGAGGAUUUUAUCACUGGUGGUGCUGGGCAACACAACAAGCAAUCUCAACGGCUAUACUUCACCAGGGACCUCCAAACAUCAGUCCCCAAGGUUUAUCGGCCUUCUCGACCAAGUCCUUGCUGACUCGAUACAACCGACUCUCCUAAGAGGUUGGGUACCCAAACAGUAGCAGUAGUUGAUGGGAUAUCACCCAAACAACUCAAACAUAGUCAUGUAUAUAGCGACAACUCAUCUCAUAAUAUCAGUAUACAUAGCCUCAUUGGAAAACAAGGGAGGUCGAGUGCGAUAAAGUACAUGCUCGCCUCCAUUUUAUCAAAACAAUAUUUGGCUCCAACAGUCAUAAAUCAAGUAUUUCAGAUAUUCAGAUAUUUCACAUAACGGGUAGCAGGUAGUGGAACACUCACCUGUCAAGUAAUGCAGUAGUCAAACGUCAAGUAUCUCAGUUACGACCACCUUUGUUUCCCAAUCCUAGGACAACGAGUGAAAUCGUUAACAUAUUAGAUUCAUUUCUCACUCAAUCGUAGGCUCAUUAAGAGACCAAGUGAGUGAUUAAAGCCACGCAAUUCAUCAUGCAAAUUUGGCUCAAAAUGCAGUAAAAGUUCAUGAGAAACAAGUUCAAUAAGUGCAUGAAAGUUGGACAAAAGAAAAGUUUCAUUCUAGGUUAAAUCGUUCUUCGCGCAUAAAACAGUCCCCACGCAAGCUCGGUAAAAUGGCUAUACCUUACUGUAGGAAGGUCAGAAUUAGGUGCCGUCAGCGGCGUUGGAAACUAGACUCGAAGGGCUUUCCAACAGUACUAAUUGGACACUCUAGUUCAUCUCCUAGUAGUACUAGUACCUCGGACAAUUUGGCUGUUUUUCCAACCCUGGAUCAGCCCCAACCGCAAGCAAAACUACAUUGGUUCUUGGUGCUAUCUUCAUUUGUUUUAGUUCAAAUUCACCAAAUCAGUCCUCAAAUGUUCAUAUACAGGGUGUCACAUCACCUAGGGCCAUUGGAGUUCAAAAUAUAAUACAUCAACAUGAAUAAGAAUAACCAUAGUAGCCUAGCCAUCAAGAAAACCAAACCAGUCCACUAUAUAGACCAAACCACUACAUUACUUGCUCAAAUUUCAUUCAACUCACUCGUGAGCUUAACCAAUGUCUAGCCAUGAUUAUUAGGCUUGAAUAGAGUACACUUGAACCACAAAAAUCAAGGGGAAACCCCUUCUUCCAAUACCGUCAGCUAAGACAAGAAAAUCAGUCCACAAGUUUACAUGUUCAUCUAACUUUCAUUCCUUUCAUGAUUUCCAUUUAAACAACACAUCAAGUGGUAGAUCUAACUCAAAAGAGGUUUAAAACAUGUUAAUACCUCAUAAAUAAACAUGAACAAGAUCCAAACAUUUCAUCAAACACUUGAUAGGCAUAAAAACUAACUCAACUAUUACUUGUUUCAUUCAAGAAAUUAACUCCAAAUCUCAACCAAAACAACUUGUAUAUUGCCAUUUAAAACCUCAAGUACAUGAUAAAACACCAUAAAACCAUCAUUUAAAGAAUAUUUACCUCUCUUGUAGGUAACUUGAAUCACCAAAUCAAUCCACCAAAAUGAGAGCUUCAAGCUUGAAUCAAACACUUAGCGUUGGAGGAAAAUUUCUCUCUAACUCAAGAUCUUUCUCUUUGAUUUUUCUCUCAAGAUCAAACUAAGUUUAGAAAGUAAGAAAAUGGAGUUUCUCUCCUUCCUUUGAGGGCUUAAGAAAGUCGGCCAAGCUUAGGAAAGAAAAGCUCCAAGAUGGUUUAAAUUCUUUCUAAUCUCUUGGUCAAACAAAAUCCAUGACUAGGGUUUUGCCACUUGGCUCCAUCCUUGUCCAAUCCUUUCUUAAUUUUUGACUAAUGAUAUACUAACCUUUUCAAAUGUACCGAUAAUUCUUUAACACCUUUAAUCUUACAUGUAAAGUCUCUACCACUAAUAUAAGGACACUUGGUAAAAUGCAAGUGAUGAAUUAUUUAAAACCAAUCCAAGAAAAUGUUUUACUUCAAGUAAAAAGGAAAUGAAAUGGAAUACAUGAAAAUGUUGUAACAUAUAAGAAAUAUAAUGCAAAGGCAUAUAAUAAGUGAUUUAAAUCCUAGGGUAAGACAUUCAAUUUUGGAAAAUUGUGUUUUAAAAUGAGAGUCAAUACAAGAGAAUUGUUGUAACACAUGUAAAAUGCAAUAUUAGGGCAUAUAAUGAGUGGUUUAAAUCUUAGGACAAGACAUGUAGUUUAGAAAAAUUAUAUUUUAAAGUGAGGGUUCUCUCACAGUGACCUUGAGAAAUUUUUUUCAAUUCUUUCGGACGUCUGGUACCUUUAAUGCUUGCAUCCGAAAGCAGAUAGUAAAAUUGAGAAAUUUUUUUCAAUCCUUUUAGACGUCCGAUACCUCUAAAGCUUUGCGUCCGAAGUACAACAUAGUUUAUCGGAUGUCCGGUUUCUCUGAUGUAUGCAUCCGAAAGAGGUCAGUGACCUAGGUGGAAUGUCUUAAUUCUUUCAGAUGUCUGGUGAUGGAGUUCUUCAUACAUCUGAAAUGCCGCGUACUUUAUUGGACUUCCGGUUCUGUUUUCACGAGCGUCGACAGCAUUUAGCUUCCUUUGUCUCUUUUCAAUUACACUUGAUCUUGAAUCAUAUCUGUUUCAUGACUGAGAAUAUUUUUUGAAGGGAUAUUAGUAUCAUCCAAUUGUUUUAUAAACAUCAAAAGUUAGGAACCAAUGUCAACAUUCUCCCCCAUUUUGAUGAUGACCAAACAAUGGAUAGAAGAAAGAAAAAGAUUGAGCCUAAACUCCCCCUCACUCAUUGCAUCAAAAAUUUUUAAGUGCCAAACUUAUAAUCUCAGAAUAACUCCCCCUUUCACAUAACAUCCAUUUUUCCCCCUUUUUGUCAUCAUAAGAUGAGAGUAAAAUCUAACAACCAUAAUCCAUAAUGUAGUUGCCAUAAUAGAGAAUCCAAAAUACCAAUCAAAACAGAGAAAUGAUACUAGAAUUCAGCAAUCACCAAUAUACCAACAUCAAUCAUCAGCCAAAAAUAGAGAAUCAAUACCAAAAAAAUACCAAACAGAGAAAUAUCAAUCAAAAUAUAUUAGCAAUUCAACUAGAAACUAUCAAUGUUAAUCAAGAUUCAUUAGUAUAGAGUACUUGAAACAUCAAAAGAGAAAAUACAAAAAAUGCAUGCUAAUAUGAAGUGCAAAUGACCCUAAAGUGCCUAAAGUGUAAUCAGAAAAUUUCAGAAAGUCACAACAUUUAAAUUUCGAACAAUUGACACUUCAAAUGUUAACAAUAUUCAAACCAAGCAGAUUUUGAACUUUUACAAAUAGGGAAACGAAAUUUUUUGAAAGGUCAUCUUUGUGACCAAGAAAAAUCACCCAAGUGUAUCUAGAAUAAUCAUUAAUAAUGACUAAAUAAUAUCUCUUACCACCCAAACUAGCAAUUUGUGUAGAACCAAAUAAAUCAAUAUGUAAAAGUUUCAAUGGUCUUAAGGUAGAAACACAUUAUCUCCAAAUGUCACUAUGCCACUAGAUUUUGGUUUAAUUUUGAUGAAUUGUGAUGGAUCACUGGUCAUGUGUCUUAAAUAUUUACUAUCUAUGAACCAUUUUGAUUCCUUAAUAAUGCUCACCAGGUUCACCUAUUCAAGAGUUCAAGAACUAAUAUAUGGUACCCAUUAAUUUUUGGAUCCUUGAGAGCUAGCAUCAUGUCUAACUAUCCACAUGCAUUUCAUGCCUCUUCUUAUGUUCUUCUUCACAUAGCAAUUACUUUUCAAGUGACCUUUUUUACAACAAAAAUUACAAAUAAUCAAUGAAUUAUUUGCAUAAACAGGUUUAAUAAAUCUUACUUGUCUUCUUUUAUAAACAGCAAAAUCAUUUACACCAGAAUUUAUCUUCUUCUUAUAAGUGUCAAGAUGAGACUUUGUUCCAUUUCCUUGAAACCAGUUUUGUUUCUUAUAUUGGAGAAAUUCAUUUAGAUUAUCCAUUCUUCUUUUUAGAUCACCUUGUUCCUCUUUGAACAUUUCACAAAUCCUAGUUUUUCUAUCAAGCUUAUUCUAUAAAUCAAUCUCAUUUUUUUUCAAGAAAUCAUUUUUAGUUUUCAACUUCUUGUUUUCUUGAAAAAGCGUGCAUUAUCCAGAAGAAGAAAACUAAUUUGUGUUUUAAUUCCUUGUUUCUAGUAUAAAAUUCUUUCAAACUAUCAUGUAAUGUUUCAAUAAAAGAUUGAAGAUUAUCAUCAAUUUCAUCAUCACUUUCAAAUUGGGAAUUACAAGUUGUUACCUCCAAUGGUCAUAAAAGUCAAUUGAGUAUAUUCUUCUUCCUCUUCAAUUUUACCAUCGGGGUUACACUCGUUUCAUGUGAAUUGGAAGUUGUUGAAUCUUGAUUUUCUUCCUUCUUUCUUCUUCUUCAUUAGACACUCAGUCCUGUAAUGUCCAACUUGGCUGCAAUCAUAGCAUUUGUUACCUUACUUUUUGUUGGCCUCUAGCUUUUCACUGUUUCUUGCAUUGUUGAAUUGAUUGGAUUUGAAUUGCGAGGUCCUUCUUUUCUGAAUCUCCUUUUGUUGAGAAUUCUCUUGAAACUUUUUGUGAUGAGAGUUAGAUCAUUAUCAUCCACAUCCAUAUCUUUUUCAUCCAAGGAAGCCGAAUCAUUUUCAUCUUGAGAUGCUUUUAGAGCAAUGCUCUUUCUUACCUUUGCAUCUUCUUUUUCUUGUACCUUAGUCUUAAGUUUCAGCUCAUAAGAGGUUAGAGAAUUAAUAAGAGAUUCAAUAGACAUAAAAUUCAAAUCUUUAGUCUCUUCAAUAGUAGUCACCUUACUCUCCCAAUCCUUGGAUAAAGCAUUCAAAAUUUUUCUGUUUUUCUCUCCUAAGAAGUAUUUCUUUCUAGCACCUCUAAAUUCUUAAUAAGAUCAUUGAAUCAAUAAUACAUUUUAUCAAUAUUUUCAUGAAAUUCCAUCUUAAACGACUCAUACUUAGUAACCAAGAUAGUUUUUUUUUGUUCUCUAAUAUUUUCACUACCUUCAUGAAUUUCUCUCAAUUUAUCCCAAAUUUUUUUAGCUGACUUACAACCCUUGACUCUAAUACAUUCAUUUGAAUCGAAAGCACUAUAUAACACAUUCAUAGAUUUUGCAUUUAAGGUGAGAUGAUUUCUAUCCUCUGCAGUCAAUUUAUUUCUUAUUUUUUGUCUAGAUCUAUGAGUGUUUUUAUCUACUAUAGAGGUAUCAUAUGCACCUUCAUUAACAUUAAACCAUAAUUCAUUAUCAAUCGAUUGCAAGAAGAUAAUCAUUCUUUCUUUCUAACUCACAUAAUUUGAUCCAUUAAACAUUGGAGGUCUAAUCAUAGAUUGUUCUUCAAAAAACAUGGCAUUGUUAAUUAUCAUCUUUACUCCUAAGCCGAUUGAGUUUAAUCUCUAGGAGACCAAGCUCUGAUACCCUCUUUUCUAAGUGAUCACACAAUGAAUCAAUCAAUGAAUGAACAAAAUCACUUGAGAGAAGUAAAAGAUAUAAGCAAUUUAAAAAAUCACAAGGUAACAAUAAGUAAAUAAGAAGAAAGGAAUUGCAAACCAAUUGACUACCAAGCUCCUCUUGAGCUUUUAGAUCAAUUCAAACAAUUUUAUUCAAAUUGAUGAAAUACAACCAAUUUUGUUUACAAAAGAAGACUCAAUUUUUCCUUGCCAUAAACUCCACUCGGUCAAGAUAGGAAGUUUUACUAUCUCUCAGGAUAACCCUCACAGAGUUACACUAUUGAAGUAUUCACUCACAAAUAAAAAGUUUACAAUGAAUGUCACACCACGAAAACUACAAAUCUUCCUUGGAGAGUGUUUUCUCAUUAAAACUACUCUAUAUUUUUUGUCUUUAGUAUGCAAAAAUUAUUUGAAAUUUCUGAUAAUGCUCUAUUUAUAUGAGACCAAGAAAGUGUUUCACUAAUGUUUCCAACAGAUAGAAAGUAGGUGAAGAGUCAACUAGCCAUUGGAAGUGUCGGACGUCCGGUACUCCUGUUUCUUGCGUCCGACAGCAGGCAGUGAGUUUGAGAGAUUUUCUUCAGUUCUUUUAGAUGUCCGGUACCUCUAAUGCUUGCGUCCGAAAGCAGAUGGUGAGAUUGAGAAAUCUUCUUCAAUCCUUUCGGACGUCCGGUACCUCUAAAGUUUUGUGUCCAAAGUGCAGUAUAGUUUAUCAGACAUCCGGUAUAUCUAAUGUAUGAGUCCGAAAGAGGUCAGUGAGUUAGGUGGAAUGUUUUAAUUCUUUCGGACAUCAUGUGAUGGAGUUCUUCAUGCGUCCGAAGUGCCGCAUACUUUAUCGAACAUCCGGUCCUAUCUUCACAAGCGUCCGAUAGCAUUCAGCUUCCUUUAUCUCUUUUCAAUUACACUUGAUCUUGAAUCAUAUCUGCUUUAUGACUGAGAAUAUUUCUUGAAGGGAUAUUAGUAUCAUACAAUUGUUUUGUAAACAUCAAAAGUUAGGGAUCAAGGUCAAUAAAAUGAACGACAGAUUGGUGAAAUAAAAACGGAACCAAAUUAAAUAAUAGAUUAGUGGAAUAAAAUUUGAACCAAUUAAAUAACAAAUUGGUGGAUAAAAUCUAAAUCCAAAUAAAUAACAAAUUUGUGGAAUAAAAUCCAUAUCCAAUUAAAUAACGGUAGAAAUGAAAAUGCGUCCUAGACCUAAAUUGCUGGUGGGAUUAGAACCAAACCCCAAACGACUAGUGGGAGAAACAAAAAUGCAAAUUACUAAUCUUGAGAAAGUAAAAUUGUAACAUUCAUGCCACUAGAUUAGAAAGAAUAAAAAAGUCUCAGAAAUAAUUCCAAAAAUGAUGGAAUAAAAUGCAAAGUCUAGAUUGCUAUAAAGAAAUGAAAUUGAAGGCCCAGAAUGUUGUUUACAAAAGAUUCUCUCUUUUUUGUUUUGUUUUUUUUUUGUUCUUUGAUUUUUUUGAAAAGGCUUCUUUUCGGGUUUUCAACUAAUGAACAACUUUAACGACAACCUCUAUCAAUUAAAAAAUUUGUUUCAAGAUUGAUAGUAUUUAGUAAGAUAAUCUUUUCCUUGCAAAACUGGUGAAGUGUGUGUUUAUAGUAUUUGCCAUUUGAUUAAGAAAAUUAUCUUCAAAAUAUUGCAAAAGAUGAGGUCAUAAUAAGAAGAGUUAAUGCUUGAAAGCAGAUCAUAUAAUGGGUUUGAGGUAGUUUUGAAAUCGCAUUUUUCAAAAUUUGCCCCAGUGUAAGGCUGAUAAAAACUAAAAUAUUGCCCAAUUUAAUUCUAACUGGACUUCUCUUUUUUUUCUCUUCUCAUUUUUUUGUUCUGCUGAAGUAUGUACUCAUUAUGAAUGGAUAAGCCAAUCCUCCACUUUGCAAUGUAGCGUUAUUACUCUUUUUUAUUCGUGGUUGACUUUCAAAUUUGCAAGAUUUUGACUUAUGUUGCGUUCUCGAUUUCAUCCAUAAACACCUGUACAAAGGGGAUUUUUCAACGUAUAAUAUGCACUUGAAUUUUUUUCGCGGAACUUUCUUUAUUUUGGAGUAAUGAUGUAGCAAUUAUGGUUCAUGCAAAGUGUUAAUUUAUCAAAGUCAAAAUUUGAACAACAAAUUUGAAGUGUACUUGACCCUUGGACAUACCCUACAAAUAUAUUAUAAAAAUUACCUCAAUUUAACCCAUUUAAUUGCAAAAAUUUUUGUUUGGAUGACUUUUCAUUUCUUUGGAUAAAAACAAGAAAACUGUGCUUCAUAAACUUUGGGAAAUAAUCAGAUAUUAACAUGCAAUAUGCAUUGGUAUAGAAUAGAAAUUGCAUUCUUUAAAUGAAAAGAGCCUUAAAUGUCAUGCUUAAACUCAUAUAGAAAAUCCCAUGAUAAACCUCUCAAAAUAUGACCAAAUUGCAAUAGAUCUCUUCCUCACUUAGGAUCGGUGUUUAGGGAAAAAGAUCACUUUUUUGCAUUAGCUCAUCCUUUAGGACCAAUCGAGUGGGUAUUAUCCUUGAUUUUCAGGUGGCCAAGAGAAAUAAUAGUUAAAGAUAGUAUAUCAAGAUCUGUCUUGAUUUUGGUCCCUAGAUUGCAUUUAACCCAUUCAAUACUACAUCUUGAUGAAAACAACUAGCUUAUCACCAUUAUUUCUUCUGAAAACUUAGUCAAUAUAUAAAUUCUGUGGGCUUGUAAUGUACAGGUAAAAGAGAUAGUUAAACACACUGAAACAAGCUAUGACCUUAUGAUCACGUGUGACUGGUAGAUCCCUUAAGGGGUUGAUCCUUACUUCAAGUUGUCAUGCAUACUUCAAGUUGUCAUGCAAAAUAAGUUAGCAAUGGACUUUAUGAGUUUGUAAUGUGGCUUGAAAACGAUAGUUAAAAGAAACAAAAUUUUCAAGGAUGCUACACUUAAGAUCGCAUUCCUCCCAAAAUUGUUCCAAUUUUGGGCUCAAAGAUCUUGAACUCCACUUAGACUUUUAUCAUCAAUCACCGGAAAUAUUUUGAUAUUGAAUUUUCUCUUUUUUUCUUUCUCUUCUUUUUUUGUAUUUUCUUUCUCUUUUUCUCUCUUUUUUUUUUGCAUUUUUUUGGUUGAUACUAAAGUUCAAAUAUCAAUGGUAAAAUAAAAAAACCCCCUAGCUUUUAGAAGAUAGAUGCCAUUUUCUUUUUCCUUUUCUUCUUUUUUUUGAACAAUUCAUGUCUUUUUUAAAAAAAUUUAGCAUCUUUGCUAUUAUUGAAAAUUCUCAAAUCUCCUACCUCGGAAUGUAAUCGAGUCGAAUCAAGCUCGAGUAGUGCUAUACUCGAGCUCGCCUCGACUCAUAUAUCGAGCUCGAGCUCAAUCGAGUCAAAAAAAUGAUACUCAAAACUUGACUCGAUAUACUCACUCUAAGCUCAAAACUCGACUCGAUAAGGCUCGACCCUUAGUCAAGCCUUAUCAAGCCGAGUCUAAUCAAGUUUUUUGACUCGACUCGACCAAAAAAUGAGGCAUUUUUUAGACUUUUUCUUUUUAGGUAUUUUUAUAAGUAUGUUAUUACUUUUUUACCCUUAUAAAAUUUUAUUAUAAAGAAGAGUAUAUUGUAAAUUCUGUAUAACCUAUACCCAUAAUAGUCAUUUUAUAAUUAUAAUACAUAUAUAUUAUUAAAUUAUAAAUAUAUUAUUUAAAUAGCCCGGCUCGACGAGCUACUCGACAAGCUGCGAGCCAAAAAUUUGAGACUCGAAACUCGACUCGAACGCCAAUCGAGCUACUCGAAACUCUGCUCGAACUCGGUCAAACCGAGUUCGAGCCAAGCUGUUGUCGGCUCGCGUAUAUCCCUACUCCUACCCCAAUAUGGGGUGCAAUCAUAAGUACAUUUGAAACGAACCAUCAAUUUAAAUUCAAAUGAGGAUGCAAAGGAUAAACAGUGUUUACAUAGUAGAAAACAUGGUCAGAGCAUUAUUCUUACGUUAUAUGAAAAUCAAAGUAAAGAAUAACUAAUUAGGAGAAUUUAUUCCCUUUUUACAUUUGAAAAUUUCCCUAAUGUAGGAUUGUGAUCACCAAGGCUCCUAUUUGAAAUGAUAUUGUACUUUUGAUUGCUUAAAUGGGAGAGUAAAUGAUAAAAUCCGUAUAGAUAGAGAAACAAACGCCGAAAGUAUCAUCCCAAAUUCUCAAAACAAAUAAGAGUAAUGACUAUUUUAAACUAGAUGUAGAUUGAAUUUGGUUAAACACAAUGGCUUUUCAAAAGUCAAAAAUAGCUUACUUUGAAGUUUGUCAAUUAAGGUGACUGAUUCUGGAGGCUUGAUAGAAAAAAUGUGAAUAGCACCAAUGAAAGAGAAGCACCAUCAUACUUGGUCUCUUAAAACAAACUAACAAAUUCGAAUCACCCUUUUUGAUUUUGUGACAACCCCACCUCCCUCUAGAGCAACCCAGAAGUUAACGGAUCGCCUGCCCAACUCUCGCCGGGACUCACUACAAUCCUCAAAUGAAAAAUAGACCAAUUCCAAUAAUUACAUCUAAAUAUGCCCAAAAUAACAACACGACUAUAAUAUUUCAUUGCACAAGUACAUCCAAGGAUACACAUCUCAAGUCAAUUACAUCGAGUUCCAAAUCUUACAAUUCCCCAAAGGUCAGUUACAAUAAUACCAAACUAUACCAAAGACUAGCCUUCACUAGUAUCUUCCAAUCACUUUCUUCACGUCACUCUCCAUUAAGGAAUAACAAAUGGAAUGGGAUGAGCUAACGAUCAGUGAGGCCAAGAAAAGACAUGCAAGCACGUAAUAGAGUAAGUAGAAGAGAGCACAAAAAAAAAUCGAGACAAUAGUAAAACCAGAAGUUUCAAGUAAUUAACAUUUCAAGUAGGAAAAGUAAGCAGAAACAAUUAAGAAUACUGGACUCUCAGGAGCUAAGUCCACUUGUAAAGCGGUUGAAGCUGAUACCAUUCCAUCUCAGGUGUUGACUCUCCGUCAACCAAGCAACAAACAAAUCCGUAGAAUCACCACUUGCUACGUCUCCUCCCAACAUUUGUCCCCCUCGGGCCCGGAACAAAACACGCAUGAGGUGGUAAUACCACUCGAUAUACCAAGCAAGUCUCUCCUGUGACGGCCCCACCUCUCCCUAGGGCGUACCCCAGGGUUCGGCGGGCCGCCCGCCCAGCUCUCGCCGGGACUCAGUCGUUCACUACAGUCCUCAAAUAAAUACAAUACAAAUCUCAAGUAUACAUCAAAUGGUCCACAAAUACACAUCCGUCUCCAAUAAUUACAUGUCACAAAUGCAGCGGAAACUAAUCCCAAAUAUACAUAAAAUAAUUCCAAAUCCAAAAUUGUACAAAGUUUAGGCCAUCCAUACACGUGCACAAGUACUACAAGUCCUUCCUUCGCCACGAGCCCUGUGGAGGGGAAUAAAAUAGUUUUUGGGGUGAGCUAAAAGCUCAGCGAGUAACCAGAAAAUCAUUAAUCAACUCGGUUUCACAAUAGUUCAUUUCAAUGAUGUCAUAUAGCAAUGAUGUCAUAAAUUAAAUGAUAAAUCCGGAAACAACUACAUCAUUUGCAAAACAGUAAAUAUGGAUUAUCAAUAAUUCAAGAAACAUUUACAAUGGAAAGCGAUAGUAACAUUCAUGAAAGGAUACAUUCAUUCUCCUGACAUUUCCUCGCUCAUUUGGUCAUUCAUUUCAUUUCAUUCACCCCGUCCCUGGCUUUUGGCCAGGCUCCACCAACCUACAUAGGUAAUACUCGAGUAUACCAAACGUUCACCCAAGUUCCUAAUCGCCUGACCGAGUCCGCUUCUGGCUCAAGACGACCGGUAACAAGGGGCAAUGGCCAGUUCAGCCCAAAAGGCUUACAUUCAUGCGCAAGUAACAUUUCAAUCGAAAAUUUCACCUUUAUCGAGGUCGAGUGCGAUAAAGUACACACUCGCCUCGAAAACUCGUUUUGGAAAUCAUUAUAAGCGCUUAACACGUUAUCAACCAAAAUACAAGUCAUGAAGUCAAGAAAUAUAGCAAACAAGGCACACUCAAAUGCCAGCACACAUGAUAUGCAAGAAAACAUUUCAAAAGUAACUUUGGAAACAGUUCAAAAGUAAAUAAUGUAAGAAACGGUUCAUAAAUCACUUUAGAAGUAGUUUGAGGUCACUCACCUCCAUGGCUCAGAAAUCAUCCAUCAUAUAACAUUGCCUUGCUCAAAUCCAAGUCUUAGAUCACAAACUCAAAGCAAUCAAACCCUUUAAAACUUCGGACAGCACUUCCCCUAAAUUUGCUUACUUUCCCAGCCAUCAUGGCUUCAUUAUUUCCUCAGCCAGUUCCAAAGUCACACAAAUAAGUUCAUCCAAUAGCCAUUCAGCAAGCUCCAAGUAGUACUAGCACAAGUCAAGCUAGGGAAAAGUCCGGAAAUGAAAGUUAAGCUCAAAACCAGAAAAAUAGUUUUGACGUCAUUUUGCGGUAAUGGUACCAAAGGCGCUACGAUUGUCGGAUGAAGGUGAAAGACCCACCGUUUCGAAGCUAAGAGUCAGGGCUACAAUAUUGCAGAAGGUCACUCAACCCAGUUUCGAGUGCAAACAGGUCAAAAAGGCAAGAUACCACAUCAAAAACGUAAAACAGAUUCACCAAAACGCAUUCUAGCGGAAACAUCAUAACUCAGGCUCUACAAGUCCAAAUCCAGAAAUUCCAAAGGUAUAUGGUAGCUAAUACAUCAAGCUACAUUUCAUCAGAAGACCUCAAAGGCCAAAUCGUGCAUUUUCAUGAUCGAAAAUGGAAGACUACACGAAAACAAAAAUCUGGGCGCGAAACAGGUUUCAAAAACAGUCAAGGGUAUUUCGGUCAUUUCACAUGCUACAGUGGUGGAUCAAGCUGAAAAUUUACAGGAAACUAUUUUAUAGCCUUGGAUACAACUUUCAUGUUUUGGCCAAAAUCUAAUUCGGUGAGAAUCAGGGUGAAAAGUCACGGUCAAAUUGAGUGAAAAGGCAACCCUGUUCGCAGCACCCCUUCCCAGACCAGUCUCAGUAUUUCCGACUUUUCUCACUCCACACUACUCCAAUUGACCUGAAAUUUUACAGGACCUUUAAAACAUCAAUACCUACAACUUUCAUGUUUUAACCAAGGCCAAUUCGGCCUCUAACCAUGAGAUACAAAACCGGACAGAAUUGGGGAUAUAAAACCCUAACUUUCUCAAAUUCCUUCCAAACCCAAAAUUGGUUGCAAUUACCAAUCAUUUACACCUACUAGAGUUAUUAAACAUCAUUUCCAACCAUCAUGGACAGCCACAACAUCAUGAUCAAAUUAAACCAGAAAAAUCAUCAAUAAAUCAAAAACUUCACCAAUUCAUCUCAAACCAAGAAAUAAACCACAAAUUUCAGCACUUUAGCUCCCACUAGGCAUAACUUAAGCUUCAUUAAGUGUAGGAGGAAGUUCAAUCACCACUCACCUUAACAAUAGAAGAGAGAGAACAACUAGGCACCUUAACCUUCCAAAUAACUCCACCAAGAGCUCCAAUCUUCCUUAGCUAGCAAGUUUUAUGGAGUGAUUUGCAAUUUAAUCGGUUGGAACUCAAGAUUUGAGCAAGAAUUGAAGUUGAAGUUGAAGAAACUCUCUCUUGUUCUUUCCUCACCAAAAAUUUCGGCCAAGACAAUAAAAAUGGAAGAAAUUGGGUCAAAAUUUGGUUUAGUAAAGGUUAAGACAAGUCCAAGUCAAAGUCAAGGUCCAAUAGUUAGGUGACAAAUGGUCCUCUAGGAUUUUAAUCUUAUCCUUUUGUCUCUCCAAGAUUAAACCAUCUAAGUAACCUCUAAUUAUCUCUUAGCACCUUGUAAAAUAAUAUCACUUAAUACAAAAUUCCAACAAGUUGUCAAAAAAUAUAAUGCAUUUACCGCACUAGCGGGUCCCACGUCCAAAAUACGCUUUUAAUUUCUCAAAAACUAACCGAUACUAGAAAAAUCAUUUUAAAACUAUUUUUGCUCAUAAACUUUAUCUGGGAAAUUUUUCUAAUCAAGAAAAUGUAGAAAAGGCGGGCGUUAAAAAAAUAAACCCUAGAAAAUUAGAAAAUUUCCGGGUUCUCAAACUCAUUUUUUUCGGGGCGUCACAUCUCCAAUAGAUCAAGCUUAUCACUUCCUACGGUUCACCAAACUUCCCGACCAAGCCCUUGCUGGCUCGGAUCCCAAGGUUAGCCAAUAGGCUUGGGCGUCCCCCCAUGAGUAAAAUUUGUUGAUGAGAUUCACUAUAAUCGGCAUUCAAGUUCAAGUUCAAUACAAGUCAAGUUCAAAUAAGUCAAGUAACAAGUCAAGUCAUGUUCAUGUAUACAAGCAAGGUCAAUCAAGUAGAUACAACAAUUCAUGCACUUGACACUCACCGAAAUCAAGAGUGUAAAACAAGAGUAAGGCAAGAUCAAACGAGCUCCUCGAAAUCCUCUUGAUCACCUGAGACAUGCACAAUUAAAAAUCACCUAGGUAAUCAACCAAAGUCUAGUAGUAUUCCUGCUACCCUCACUCAAGAGAUAACAUGUUCAAAUCGAAUGCAAAUAUCACUUACUAACUUAAUCCACGAGAGUAGCAUUUGAAAAUAUUUAAGAAUGCAUUAAUUCAAGUCAAGUCAAGUCCAAGAUUCUCCAAUUUGAGGAUUAAGCAGAUCUGUAAGUUUUGGCAUGAAAAUCGAGAAAGAUGGAAGAUUAUUUUCUUGUCAAAAUUUCCUAGUUAAACGCCCAAGUUUCAAGUAUAAGUGAGCUUUCACAUUUUUCAAACUCAUUUAGUUAAAGUCUAGUAAAACUGCCACUAACGGCUCAUUAACUUCUUUAGCUGCCAAUCGACAUUCAAGUUCAAGUUCAAUACAAGUCAAGUUCAAAUAAGUCAAGUAACAAGUCAAGUCAUGUUCAUGUAUACAAGCAAAAUCAAUCAAGUAGAUACAACAAUUCAUGCACUUGACACUCACCGAAAUGGAAGAAACUUUUCAUUAAACUCCCGAGUGAAAUUCUCCCAAGUCCAAGGGGUUCGAGCUCUUUCCCAUUUUCCUUUUAUCAAAUCCCACCAAGCACGGGCUACUCCCUCAAAUUGAAAAGCAGCAAAGUUCACUCGUCUAUCCUCAGUAUAGUCUAGAGCGGCGAAUAUGUUGGUCAUCCUUUCUAACCAAUUCUCCGCUACUUCGGGGUCAGGUUCACCCAUAAACUUAGGCGGGUUAAACUUUAGAAAUCUUUCCAGAGCUCUAUCCUCUCCCCUAUCCUGGGCCCCAGGUUGGUUAAAUGGUCCAGGACCCUGUCUCUCCGCUAGACGUUCUAGGAUAUCAGUCAUCCUAUUGAUGGCAGUAGCCACUUGGUUACCCUCAACGUUUUCCUGUCCCUGGGUCGGUCCAGUUGCCGAACCCUGGUCAUCCCCCUGAGGUUGGGCCUGUCUAGACGCUCGCCCACGACCUCGACCACGACCUCGACCACUCCUUAGUCCCUCCAUUAGUCUAAAGGUGCCUAGUGCAAGGAAAUAAAUUAAUUUAACCAGCAAACAAGAAAUAUAUCGAAAUUAGAACUAACCAAGAAAGCAUUAAAAUUAACAAUAAUUUACAUUCAUGCAUGUCAAGUUCGUACAAUUAGCAAGUUAGGGACAAUUCACAAAAUAUAGCACACAGGUGCUCAGAAGUAUACUUCUAGUCACAGAAGACUAAAGUAAGAACAAGUGCCCAAAAGUAGGCCACACAAGCAUGCAAAAUACAAUGGCCUCAGCACUCGCGUCACCCUAACUAGUCCUAACUGUACCAGUCAAAAGUCAAAAGGGGUCAACGACCAAGAUCCUAGUCCAUAGUAGGGCUAUCAGGAGGAACCUCCUCCUCGGGAUCCUCCUCCGGAUCCUCCUCCUCAUCAUCAGGAAUCACCGCAGCAGCGUCCUCAACCAGACUAGUAGCAUCAACCAGCAUCUCGAAAGCCCGAGUACGGACAUCUCGUGCUAACCUAAUGAGUCGAGCCCUAGUAUCCCGAAGCUCCUCAUUAACCACUGCAGAUGUGGCUACCUCACCCUCUAGCACCUCCUCAAGCUCAGCAAUCUGCUCACCCUGAGCGCCCACCAUCUGCCUAAGCUCAUCUACCUCAGCCUGUAGAUCUCGGUUGGCAUCCACCAACUGACGACGCUCGUCGUCCAAAGCAAACACUAGAUGGUUCGGGUAGGCGAAGGUCAACCUACACGAACAUCGAGGGUAUCUGUCAUAGGGUGAGUAGCGUACACGAGCUCCUCCUGCUAUAGAUCGGUAGUAGAUAGUCCUAAGGGGCUCGUAAUGACCAUUCGCAUGGCCAUUCCCGUUAGCUGCCGGGGCUCCGUUUCCAUCAGCCAUCCCUGCAAAAUAAUAACAAUAAUAAUAUUUUUCAGGUUAGAAACUUAAAUCACUACUCAGUUCCAAUAUCCUGCAAUGCAUGUCUAUCUUAAUAGCUGGUUCAUCCCAUCCGUCACUUGAGGUAGGACUAACUUAGUUGCUAGCUCGUCUCAAGUAUCACUUAGGGUAGGAUUAAGUUAUCCCAUAUCGAGUCUUAAAGGUAGAGUAUCUAAUAUGUCUCCCAUAUAGACCUCUAACCUAGUGCUCUGAUACCAACUGUGACGCCCCACAUCUCCCUAAGGCGGACCAAAGGGUAUCCGCGGACGCCUGCUCAGCUCUCGCCAGGACUCAAGCAAUUCCAUUCAAUUUAAAACCGAAUUAAGCACUUCGAUGAGAGCAACAUGAAUACAAUAAUGCGGAAGCGUUCAAGCUUAAUAAGUCACUUAAUGUAUAACCAGUACAUCGGGUAAUCAUGAAACGACUUCAAUUCAAAGUACACGUCAGGGCCCAAACAUUUCAAGUUUACAAUUUCCAAAAGUACAACCCAAACCAGGGCCUAGUCAAAAUAUAUAACAGGAGUCUUAACAAAAUUACAACGGAUGGUUUCUCCAUAUUUCUCCAAGAGUCGGUCCUGUUAAGGAAAACAAAACUAUAGGGUGAGCUAAACGCUCGUGAGGCCAAGAACACACAUGCAAGCACGUAAUCAAAUAACAAUCCCAACUUUAAUAAAUAAAGCCAUGUCUUUUCAAUAAUCAAUCUAUCAAACAGGAAAAGUAAUCAGAAACAAUUCAAGGAUAUAGUAGCUCUCAGGAGCUAAGUUCCACUCGAUCUGUCGAUGUCAUUCGUAUACUUUCCCGCAUUGACCCUCCUGUCAACCGGGUCGGUAUUUCCAUUUCCGUAGAUCACCACUUUCUUCCCUCCGUCCACCGUACACCCCAAGGGCCCACAAGUCUAUUUUUAGGGCGAUACUCGACGAGUAUGCCAAGCAAGACCUCUUAUUAGGUCGAGCUUAUGUGUAUCUCAUGGCUCGUCCAAAUCCCCGACCAAGCCCAUUGCUGGCUCGAGUCUAAGGACGGCCUAUGAGUUUGGGCGUCCCCCAUUCAUUGGAAGGUCGAGGAGGUUCACUCCAACGACACAAGCAUUCAUGACAUAACAUUGCAUUUCAUUCAUUCAUUCAAUACAUUUCAUUCAUUCAUUUGAAAGUAGAACGAGUGCGAUAAAGUACGCACCCGCCCUUGUUUUUAAAACUUUCAACAAAUACCACAAAUAAGCAAGUAUCAAUAUUCACACACUUGACACUCACCGAGCAAUUCAAUAAGAAUUAUUUCCCGGAAGUUCAAGUGUCCACGGUGAGAUCCUCUUGAAGGUCUCCUUGCGCGCCUGGCAAUUUAAUAGCGAAUAAUCAUACAAUUAACCCACUUAUCAAGAAGAUUGUACAUUAGUACAAUCUAAGGAUUAUUUCGCAAAAAGGAACCUCAAUUACACGUAAAUCGAGGUUCAACUUGCCUUUUAUCAUGUACAAUAUUAUUUGAGUUUUGGUCAUGAAAAUCGUAAACAAAACGUUUAAGAACAUCAAAAGAAUAAAGAGUUUUUGAAAAACUCUAUUUCUUUGAAAUUGGAAAAUUUUCCAGUUUUUUGAUGAAUCUUUGAAAAAUCAUAACUCGCUCGGUAUAAGUCGAGAAUUGGAAAACCUUAUAGCGUUGGAAACCUCUUAGAGAGUACUAUAAGUUCCUAGAAGACACUUUUCCAUGAAUCGAAGUGGAAAGUGAUCAAAAAUGGGCUUGAAGACGCAGCUUCAGUUUACAAGGCAGAAUUAAGUUGGAUUUCGGCCAACUUUGAAAAUCCGGCACGAUUCACACGUUGCAAACCGGCCUCUGAAAUUUGCAGCUCAAUUAGUGUUGCAAGUGAAGUGUAGGACAAAACAAGCGGAUCAAAAAUCGGAGUUUCGAGCACCGAGAUACGGUAGCCCGAAGUUGAGCAAGUUCAAGACUGGAUGAGAAUUUUCCAGAUUUGAACCUCUAACUUUAGUAAUUCAAUUGGGUAUCGAAACGAACUUAAAUCGGCACCAAAAUUGGCAGUAUUUCAAUACUAUAUUGAAAGUAUCUCUCUAUCGAAUUUCGGGGAAAAAUACCUUCGGCAAGGUAGUUAAUGAGCCAACCGAAGUUCAAGAAAAAUCCUAAGGCAAACUGCCUUUGACUUUCAUUUUCCAAAUUUUCCAAUCGUUUAACCAAGAAAGUUAUCCAACCAUGGUUCAUUUGUGAAAUAAGGGUCUAAGAUAUACCCAUGAUACCUUUGGUAAGUGUUUAAUAUCAAAAACAUCAACUAACAAGUUCACUCCAAGAUUUUGUUCCAAACCAGUCCAAACAUUAGGGUUUUUCCAAAACAGAGCAGUCCACUUGAUUCAGUCACAACUCAGUCAUUAUAGCUUGAAAUUGAGCAUGGCUUAUGCCGUUGGAAAAUAAAUUCAUAGAGUUAAAAUAUCACAGAAGAAAUCAUUUCCAAAUUCGGCACUCAUCUGGUUCAAAUUUGGGCAUCAAGUUGCUGCCUGAACACUUCAUUCCAGAUGAACAGAGCAACAGGACAGCGAACUUAAAACAUUUGGUUCGGCUUGGUCACAAAGAAUCAGAACGUGCAUUAUAUACCAAAUUAAAGCUAGGAAGGUCUAGUUUCAAACGCCACCGACGGCACAUGAUUUCGACAUCCGAGGACAGAGUUAUGGCCAAAUUACUACUGCUGGUCAGAGCAUACGCGAAUCAGUUUUCCAGAUUUGCUGGUUUCUAAAAAAAAUUCAUUUGCCCAUUCAAACCUCAUUAUUUUUCAAUGAAAAUUUUCACACAUCUAAUACAUCCUACAAACAUCCAAUUCAAGCAAUUAAACCAUUAAAAAUUGGCCUGGAAAUGGCCGAACAUGGCAGGGGCAAAAUCGGAAAGUUUAGCUUCUUACACCCAAUGAAGUUUCCACUAAUUACCCAUCACUAAUGCAUCAUUAUAAUCACUAAACCAACAAUAUAAUCACCAUUAAUCAUCACAUCAGCAACAACAACCCAAGUGUGGGAAUUCCAAGAGCCCACAAUCACAUUUUUACACCAUAAUCAAGUAACUAAGUGCAUGCAUGAGCUUAAUCUUGUCAUAUAAUCUCCAAAAGAUAAGAAUCCAAGGGUUGAUCAUUACCUACUCCUUUGGUUUGCAAGGUCAGAAUUUUCGGCCCUCUUGAAGCUCCAAAGAAACCAUGAAAGCUCCCUUCCUCCUUAGCUAGAUGUAGUCUCCAAGUGGUUUGCUAAGAGAUCUCCAAGUUUGGUGUGAUUUGGGUGGAUUUUAGUGCAUGGAUUGAAGAUGAAAAAUGAAGAACAAUGGAGAGUUCUUCUCCUUUCUUGUUGCUCGGCCAAGUGAGGUGAGGAGAGAGAGAGUGCUGAUGCAAUUGGCUUCCAAAGGAAGAUUCUUUGUGUGGUGCAAAAUGCACCUCAAAGUCAACUUGAAAUAGUGCAAUUUAGGGUGCGUUUGGACUCGAUUUUCUCGCGCGUUUGGUUCACUAGUGCACUAAACCUCCAAAGCAUAUAUAUUCUUGUAAAUAUUAUUCACUCUUAAUUGUCCCGAAAUAAGGGUCUAAAGUCCUUCAAUUGAAGUCGCGCGUGUGAAAACGCGUACCGUCAAAUUUUACCGCUAUAAUGCGGAACUUUCGAAAAAUUCCUAUAACGAUUGCACUACUAACUAUCACUUGAAUAUUUAUUCAUAAAAUUACCUAUUUUAGGACCAUAGUACAAGCCCCCAAUAUUCCAAGCUUAUUGGGCUACUACGCGGAUAAAAUCUCCAAGUACUAUUCACUAUUUUUACUAAACGCGCUCUAGGAAAUUAAUUUUCGAAACGAAUCAUUUUAAAAAUAUAACGAAGUUAUAUUACCACUUAUUUAGGUCUAAUAAGACUAGAAAAUAUUCUUUGGAAAUAAAAUUCAAUUAAAUGAUUUAUUAAGCCAUAAAUUAGGCAUAAAAUAAUAGUUUUUGCGAGUCCUCACACAUUCAAAUUCAAAAUGAACUAAAGCAACAAGAUAACCAUAUAAUCCUUUCACUUUGCAGCAUAAAACUUUAGAUUUAAACACUAAGAGCCGGACAAAAGGGCAUUCAAAUCUGGACAGCUCAUGGUUUUUCCUGCUACUUUGAGAUUUCAGCAAUUACAUCCGGCAAAUUUUAAUACAAUAACCUCAAACCAGAAGCAAUUCUAAGUUCUACAUAAGCUUGUCAUCCAAAAACUUAGUAAUCAUGCAAGAGAAAAGCAAUAAGGAUGAACAAAACACAUACAACAGCAAGAGAUGCAGUAGACUACAAGCAUCAGCGACAAAACUACAAGCAUCGGCAGCUCCAUGCUCCAACAUGCGAUUGAGUGGAAAUAUGCAGUAAACACAAGGAGAAAAACUUGCGGCAAAUAUGCACACCCCUACCAAACCGAACGCUACAGAACUCACAAACUUUAAACAAGCCUAAACUUUAUCAAACAGAGGAAAGAAACAAGAUUUGUCCAUGACUGCUGCCAUUCUUCAUUCCGACCAAAAUGCAUUGACGUGGAACAACCCGAACACAAAUGCAAUGACCUCAAGACCAUGUUGCUAACAUCAUGAGGGUAUGAAGCAAACAUCAUUGACUGAACGUAAAAACAGAAAGUGAACAAAGAUGAAAAAAAAGAAACAGCGAGUUCUUCAUGCACUCGAAGAAAUGAGAACCGACAUGAUGAAAUAUUCAUCAACCCAAUGAUAAACUUCAAUGCAAAUUCAUGCAAAUCAGGGGAACAAGGAAUACAGACAGAGGGACAUGCAAAUAAUCGAAAAGAAAUGGGGACAACCAUCUGAUGCCAAUGCAAACCGGCAAAAUUUUGCCGCAUGGAUUCUGGGCAUGACUUAUAGUCAUCAAAGAGGAUCUCAACAUUCAACAGGUUUGCCAAAGAAAGACAUUUAAACGAUAGGAACCCAUAAAACAACGGGGACAGGCAAGGGAAAGUAGUGGGUAAAAACUGGCGAGUGAUUUGCUAUCUAUCCAUGCUCAGAUUCUUAGGCCAAUCUAGCAAACUGGAGAAAUCAUAUUCUUCUAGUUCAAACAUUACUCAGUGAAUCAGCAAACAGGGCAAACAUUUUCUUUUGCCUUUAAUUGUUUUCAAGAAAAGUAGCUCCACGGCAAACUAUAUCAGCAAUUUUUUGCACACCACAUAUGAAACCAAUAUUUGAUACAAAAAAAAAAAACAGGAACCGACUCCCAAAUUCCCUGUUUCUUUUCCUCUCUCCAACUAACAAACACAAGCUAGCCAGAAUCCCUCUCACACUUGUACAAAAAGAUGCACGAAACCUUAUCUUUUGAUUCAAGACUUUGUUUAGGCAUUUUAUCAAACAUUAAAUGGGCAUGGAAAUUUCAGCAAUUCGUUACUCAAAUGAGGUCUCGGUUGGCCCCAAAACUGACAGUAAAACCAGAAAUUUCAACCCAAUUAACAAACAAAGCAGUAAUCUUUCAGAAAACGUAGGCAACUCCACCAAGAAAUUGUGAUAAAAAAAACAGAGUUUCGAGCGUCCAUGCUUAAAAGAAAAGACUGAAUUUUGAAGGGAGAAGACAGCUUACAAAACUCUUGCUUGAUGAAAAUUCGCAGACGAUGAUGGCGGGUUCGGUGAGGUGGUGGCUCCUUUCGCUUGGCCUAUUUCAUCUAGCGAGCACGAGACCUUGAGUGAAUCUUGGUAGGCUUCCUGAUGAUGAACCCAUCCUUGACCAGCUUUCUUGUGUUUUGAUGAAAAUCCGCCAUGGAGAUUUCGUUGACUUCAUUGGGGUCUAGCCAGACCUUGCCUCUGCCGCACUUGGGGACGCUGGCGGCGAGUCGCUUCUGAAGCUUCAGCGACACCAUCCCUUUGUCCGUCGGUCUGUUUCCUCUUCCUCUGGUUUUUCCUCAGCUCCCUAGCCGUCGUAUCCUGUUUCCCUGCUCUGCCGCCCCUGUUCUGGUUUCUUCUUUUUUUUUCUUUGUUUUUGGCUUCCCCCUUUUGUUCGGUUUUCUUUUCUGCCCCCCCCUUUGCCCUUGCCCUCUGUUUUAUUUACUUUUUUAGCUCUCUUUUUCUAUCUUUCUUUACUCUCAAUGAAGCCCUCCUUCUCUCUUGUUGCUCUGUUUCUUUCUUUUUUCUGAUCUUUUUCCCGAAGUCCCUUCCUCCAGCUCUCUCUCUCGCUCUAUUUUCUUGGGCUUGCGGCUGUUUGCAUUUUAAAGGCACCCCAAAAAACUAAACCCAAGAUGAAAAGCUAAGAUUUCAAACCCCAAAAUAGGCUUAUGUGUCUUGUUCUUGUCCCUUUGAUUUUUUUUAUUUUUUCAAUGAAUUAAAUAAUAAUAAAGCAAUUCUCUUAACAAACAAUAAAAAUAAGAUAAAAUAAACAAAAAACAAAAAUAAAUAAAACAAAAAUAAACAAAAAUCACCUAAAUAAAUAAAUAAAUAAAAGCUAAAAUUUUGGUGUCUACAGCUGUUUCCCGCCAAAAAUUUUUCUUUUGCCGUUUGAAAUCCGAAUCUGUCCCAAAUCCAACCAAACAUCAAUCAAACAUAUACACCUUGAAAUUUAGGAUUUACAAGCCAAAAUAGCAUACCAAAGUUACCAAGCUCAUUUACACAUGUACAGGUUCAAUCUUACAAUUCAAAAGAGGGAACGGAUCAAAACACAUCUAGGGUUUCAUUCAAUGAGGAGCUAUACAAAAUGUAUUCACAACUAGCUCAACUCGGCAUCCUACUGUCAAAGCCAUUCCAAAAGUAUUCAAAUUCCUGUAAGGAAAACAAAAGGAAUAGAGUGAGCUUACGCCCAGUCAGAUACUAUCACUCAAGCAGCAAAGUUCAUAUAAGCAUAAAGUUUUUCAUUCCAAUGCAUCUAAUAGGAAAUAAGCCAAGAGUACACAUCAAUAGAAUUGGUAAAAGGAUACGGACGGCUCUCAAGAGCCCUUUCCUGGCUUGUAUUCUUGAUCGGACCACAUUGACCCUCCGUCAAUGUUUAAAGAGUAACCAACCGCAGGCUCCACUUUACUUCCAUUCCUUCCACCCAACAUACCCCUACCGGGCCCGAACUCCAAACAGUUUAACUUUGGUAAUACUCGAGUAUACCGGAAUCGAGAGUCUCAUACUACAAGAUUCCAUAUAACAGUCCCCAUGGCUCGUCAAUUUUCAUGACCAAGCCCUCGCUGGCUCGAUUCAAUCGACUACCAAUGGGGUUGAUCUUAGUAGCAACAGUAAUGGCCGUUGGAUACUCGUCCAAACGACACCAAAUCCAAUAUUUCAUGUACCACAGUAAACAGUCAUAUAUAAUACAAAAGGGUGAGAGCGAUCAAGUACACCCUCACUUUAAUCAGUUUCAACUGUACAAAUAAGCAUUCAAGACAUCAAGUUCAAAUGUAACAAAUCCACAUAGUAACAAGCAAGUGAGUAGUACACUCACCAAGCAAGCAAAUGAAAUUUCAUAAGCUUCCGCCCAAAGAGCGUCUUGAAUCACCGUCACGCCCUAAAAUAUUCAAACAAGCACAAUAAGACUCGAUUACAAGUCAUAAACCAAUUCCACAUACUACCAAAAAUAAGGCUCCAUUAGAACGUAUAAGUACUAAAGUAAGCUAGGGAAAGUCCGGAAAUGAAAGUUAAGCCCUAAAACCCAAAAAUAGUUUUGACAUUGUUUAGCAUAUUGGACACAACCGACACUACGAUUAUCGGAUGGAUGUACAAUAUACACUGUUUCGAAGCUUAAAAAAAGGGCUACAAUGUUGAAGAAGGCCACUCAGUCCAGUUUGUAGUGCAACUAGGUCAAAAUUCCAAUGUACCAAACUAGAACCGCAUUAACAGGUUAGCGAACCGCAUUCUGGUUAAAUAACCAUAAUUCAGGCUACGAAAGUCCAAUUCAAGUGAUUCCAAAGCCAUCCGAAAGCUAAGAUACCAGGCUAUAUUUCUUAAGAAGACAUCAACAACCAAAUCAGUAGUAUUCCCGGUCAAACUAACCAAUUACAGACAUGGAUUAUCAGUUCCGGACAGAAACAGGGCAGUAGGGGUAUUUCGGUCUUUUCACAGGCUACGUUGCUCCGAUUGGGCUGAAAUUUUGCAGGAAACUAUAAAAUAUCAUUCUCUACAACUUUCAUGUUUUACCCAAGGCUAAUUCGGCCUCUAACUAGGGGAAAUAGUACCGGGUAGAAUGGGGUUAAUUGAAACCCUAAUUCCAAAAUUUCCUUUCAAAGCGGAAAGUUUCCGCAAAUAGCCACAAUUUACGCAGUAUAGCUUCAUUCUAAACCAUUCCCAACCAUCAUCCAUGGCCACACAAUAUAAAACAUAUAAAAACAGAAAAAUCAUGAAUAAUUAGAAAAAUUCACCAAUCUCAACCAAAAUCAUGAAAUAGCCCACAAAAUCACCUCUUAGACUACCACAAGCCACUAAUUACACAUCAUUAGAUAGAAAAGAGAGGUUCCUUAGCUACUCACCUUAUCAACCAAAGAAAGGAGACAACUUAGCACCUUAGUCUUCCAAAUCACCUCAUAAUCACUAAACUAAGGGUUUUUAUGGAGAAAAUUCAAGAUUAAUCGGUUGGUUUGUUGGAUUGAGCAAGAUUGGAGCAAGAAAUUGGAGAGCUUUUCUUUUCUUUUCUUCCUAGAGAGGGCCGGCCAUGAAGCUUACAAAUAAGGAUGAUUUUUGGGUAAUGUUUGAUUAAAUUGGUAAAAUAGUGAAUAGUGUGGUCAAAGUCCAAGGGUUAGUCACCAAGUGACACUUGUCACUUCAAUUAAUACAUGGUUAUCCUUUUGUUCCUCUCACACCAAUUCAUCUAGUGACCUCCAGUUAUCUCUUAACACCUGCUAAAAUAAACCGGAUAUCCAAUACUUAACCUAACUGGCCGAAUUUUACCGAACUUUCCGCACUAGCGGGUCCCACGUCCGGUAUACGCUCUUAUUUUCUCAAAACCUAACCAAUACUAGAAAAUUCAUCUAAAAACUGUAUUUACUCAUAAAAAUUAUCUAGAAAAUUUUUCUAAUAAAGAAAAUGCAGAAAAGCAUGCCAUUAAAUAAAAUAAAACCUAGCAAAUGAGAAAAUUUACGGGGUCUCACACCCUCUCCCCCUUAAAAGAAUUUCGCCCUCGAAAUUUCUCACCUUAACUCAUGAAAAGUUCAGGGUAUUUCUUUUGCAUCUCUUCUUCCACCUCCCAGGUAGCUUCCUCUACCCCAUGGUUUCUCCACAGUAUCUUAACCAACGGAAUCUACUUGUUUCUCAAUUCUUUAACUUUCCGGUCAAGCAAUUGGACAGGUUUCUCUUCGUAAGCGAGCGAUUCAUCUAUAUCAAUUUCCUCUGGCUGUAAGAUAUGGGAUGGGUCGGGGUAGUACUUCUUAAGCAUCGAGACGUGGAAGACGUCGUGAAUUCGAGAGAGACUGGACGGUAGUUCCAGGCGAUACGCUACCUUACCAACCCUUUGGAGAAUCUUGUAAGGUCCAACGAACCUCGGUUGGAGCUUCUUUCCUCUACUUGCUGUGAUGCUCCGUAAUGGUGUGACUUUAAGAAACACAUGGUCCCCAAUUUCGAACUCCAAAUCUUUUCUUCGAUUGUCUGCAUAGCUCUUUUGUCGGCUUUGAGCAGUUUGGAGUCGUUGUCGUAUCAACUUGACCUUUUCUCGAGCCUCCUCCAUCCAUGGAAUAGUUGCUGGAUCUAGCGCCUUUCUCUCGCCAACUUCGUCCCAGUAGAUCGGUGACCGGCAUUUUCGUCCAUAUAGUGCCUCGUAUGGAGCCAUUUGAAUUGACGAAUGGUAACUGUUAUUAUAUGCAAACUUCACUAAGGUCAUGUGUUGAUCACAGUUACCUCCAAAAUCCAGAAUGCAGGUCCGUAACAUGUCCUCGAGAGUUGGAUUGUUCGCUCCGAUUGUCCAUCCGUCUGAGUGUGAUAGGUAGUGCUUAAAUUGAGUUUGGUCCCCAAAGUCUCUUGAAACUUCUGCCAAAACUGCGAUACAAAACGGGGAUCUCGAUCGGAGACGAUGCUCACCGGAACGCCAUGUAACCUUACAAUCUCGUCCAUGUACACCUGAGCCAAUUUAUCCAUGGAAUACUUCAUGUUUAUUGGCAGGAAAUGGGCCAAUUUAGUUAAUCGAUCCACGAUUACCCACACGGCAUCAUGUCCUCGCUGUAUUCGUGGCAAUCCUGAAACGAAAUCCAUGGUAAUGUUCUUCCACUUCCAUUCGGGUAUCUGAAGGGGUUGUAGUAAGCCUGAUGGUUUUUGGUACUCUGCUUUAACUUAUUGGCAAACGAGACAUUUUUGCACGUACAGAGCGAUUUCCUUCUUCAUAUUGUCCCACCAAUUGGCUCCUUUGAGAUCCUGAUACAUCUUGCUACUACCCGGAUGGAUUGUAUACUUGGAUCGGUGAGCCUCCUCUAAAAUCUCCGUCCUUAAUGCUUCCUCUUUGGGUACCACCACUAGGUUCCGGUAUCUUAAAAUUCCCUCAGGACUAAAGUUGAAGUCAGUUGAUUCCCCUUUUUCCACCUUCUCCCCCCAUUUCCUCACCAUUGAAUCCUCCUUUUGAGCUCCUUUUAUCCGCUCCAAGAGGGUGGAGGUUACCUUAAUGUUGCCAAAAACUACCUUAUGACUCCCAAGACAGGGUUUCCACUCACAAAUGGAUUCCAACAAAUCCCACUCUUUAAUCAUUAACCCCGUUACCUGAACCUUGCGACUUAAGGCAUCGGCCACCACGUUCGCUUUCCCCGGAUGGUAGUUGAUAGUGUAGUCGUAAUCCUCCAGAAAUUCUAUCCAUCGCCGCUGCCUCAUAUUCAACUCCUUUUGUGAAAAGAGGUACCGAAGGCUCUUGUGGUCUGAGUACACCUUGAAUGUUACCCCGUACAGAUAGUGCCUCCACUUCUUCAGAGCAAAAUCAACCGCGGCUAAUUCCAGAUCAUGGGUUGGGUAGUUCUGCUCGUGGGGUUUUAACUUUCUAGAAGCAAAUGCUAUCACAUUUCGGUUCUGCAUUAGCACACAACCUAGACCUUCCUAUGACGCGUCAGUAUAAACAACGAAGCCGUCAACUCCGUUUGGCAGAACUAAAACCGGCGCCAUGGUCAACCUUUUCUUUAAUUCUUGAAAACUUGUCUCACAUCAGGCAUUCCAUACGAACCGACCAUGUUUCUUCGUCAGGUCAGUUAAAGGACCUGCUAAUUUGGAGAAGUUUUUAAUAAAACGUCGGUAAUACCCAGCCAUCCCUAGAAAACUACGAAUCUCUGUGGGGUUUUCUGGCCUCUACCAAUUGGUCACGGCCUCUACUUUCGCCGGGUCAACCGAGAUGCCUUCUUGGGAAAUCACAUGCCCUAGGAAAGAGAUUUUCUCCAACCAAAACUCGCACUUACUGAACUUGGCAUAUAACUGAUGCUCUCUUAGGGUUUGCAAAACAAUUCUCAAAUGCUGCUCAUGCUUCUCGCGAGAUUUGGAAUAAACCAAGAUGUCAUCAAUGAAAACAAUGACAAAUUGGUCCAAGCAGGGCUUAACCCUAUGCAUCAAGUCCAUGAAGGUGGCCGGAGCAUUGGUUAAUCCAAAGGGCAUAACCGCGAACUCGUAAUGCCCAUAUCUCGAGUUGAAAGUGAUUUUCGGAAUAUCCUCCUUCCUAAUUAGCAACUGGUAAUACCCUUGGCGGAGGUCUAGUUUCGAGAAGACCACUGCUCCUUGCAACUGGUCGAACAACUCAUCAAUGUGGGGCAGUGGAUACUUAUUUUUAACCGUGAUAUUGUUCAGGCCCCGAUAGUCGAUACACAUCCUCAAAUUUCCGUCCUUUUUCUUUACAAACAACACAAGGGCCCCCAAGGAGACCCACUCUCUUAAAUGAACCCCCGCUCCAAAAGGCCUUGUAAUUGCAAUUUCAGCUCCUUCAGCUCCGCAGGGGCCAUUCGAUAUGGGGUUUUUGAGUUAGGCGAGAUCCCCGGUAACAAGUCGAUCUUAAAUUCUAUCUCUCUUUCCGGAGGUAGGGCUACUAACUCAUCAAGGAAUACAUCCGAAAAUUCCCGUACUAUGUGCACAUCCUCUACCUUCAAUUUAUCCGUGGGGGUAUUGAUUAGAAAGGCUAAAAAUUCUUGCGCCCCUCUACUUAGCAGUUUUCUAACCCGAAUGCCCGAAAUCAAAGCAGAUGAGGCUAACCUACCCUUUAUGUCAAACCUUAAGGUUGCCUCACCAGGAAUGCGGAAUUCUACCACUUUCUUUUUACAAUCUAGUUGGGCAUUAUACUUGGCUAGCCAGUCCAUACCCAAGAUCACAUCAUACCCCUUAAUGGAUAGGCUUAUCAAAUCUCCUAACAAUCGCUUCUCUCCUACCCACACUUCACAAUCCUUAUAAACCAUACUAGUAACCAAUCGUUGAUUCCCCGUAGGUGUACCAACUUCUAGGUCGAAUGGUAUACUACCAGGUUUUAUAUCAAUGCCACACAUGAAAUUAGGGUUAACAAAGGAAUGGGUGGCACCAGGAUCUACUAAAACCUUUGCAAAGCGGUGGAAAAUAGGGACCGUACCUUCUACGACCUCAGAGGAAUCUGAGACUUGUUGAGGCUCUAACGAGUACACUCGACUGGUACCUUAGGUUUAGUCCUUUCUCCCUUCGCUGGUACAAAAUUGGUCCUCAGCGGUUGUUGGCUUCCCCUUCCAUCUUGUUUUAGGACCGGACAAGUGGCCAAUCGGUGGUCUGUACUCCCGCAGCGUAAACAUUUCCCUUCCUUCCUCCAGUAAUUAUCUUCCGUGUGGUUUGGCUUCCCACAAUGCCCACAGGGACCGCGAGGUGCUGAAGCUGAACCUCCCUGAAAAUUUCCUUUUUGGCCUCGCCUAGCUUGGCCACCCCUAGACGGAGUCCCUCUGCCUACUCCAGUCUGCCGUCCACCUCCAGACCCCCGUCCAUACUUGGGAGGAGCACUCUUCUCCCCCUAUCUUGAACUGCUCCCAGGAAAGCCCCGUUUCUUGGCCUGGAAGUUCCUUAUUUGGAGCCUAGCGCUUUCCACUCGUUGCGCCUUCUCGACGGCCUUGCUAAAAGUGUUAAUCUAGGCCACCGUGAGGUCCUUCUGAAUUUCUACGUUCAAACCCUGGAUAAAACGCUUUAUUCGCCGCUACUCGGUCAUGAUCAGCUCAGAAGCAAAUUUGGAUAGGCAGGUGAACUGACUCUCAUACUCCGCUACAGACUGGGCCCUUUGAAACUAGAAUCAUUGCCACCUGAAAGAGAAAUAGCUUUUAAAAUCGAUGUGACUCCAAAAGUAGCACCUAUCUCUAAGACACCAUAUAGAAUGGCUCCAUCUGAAUUGAAAGAGCUGAAAUUGCAAUUACAGGAUUUUCUAGAGCAAGGCUUUAUAAAAAAAAAAGUGAUUCACCAUGGGAAACUUCAGUGUUGUUUGUUAAAAAGAAAGAUAGGAGUUUAAGGUUGUGCAUAGACUACCGAGACCUGAAUGAUGUUACAUCAAGAAUAAGUACCCUUUACCCCACAUUGAUGAAUUGUUUGACCAAUUGCAAGGGGCGGUAGUAUUCUCAAAGUUGGAUCUCAGGCAGGGUUAUUGUCGCGCCCCAUUUUUGAUAAAUAAAUAAAUGGUUUGAAAAAAUGUAUUUUUUGAUUCAAUUUGUGAUUGAAAAAUGAAUUGUGUUUUAAAAGAAAAAUGGGUCUAAAUGGGGGUUUGAAAAUGCGACGAUUUGACCCAAAAUUAUAGUUUAAAAAGGGUUUUUUGAAACAAAAUACGGAGUCGCCACUUGGUAAUGAGUUAAGGUGUACCAAGUCACCCAAAAAAAGAUUUUUUUGUUUUUUGAGGAAAAAUAGGAAAAAGUAGGAACAAACCCCUUUUAAACGACUCCUAAUCCACGUAAACCAAAGAAAAAGGUUCGGGAGUCACAUUUGACAAAGGGGAAGGCAAGGAUAAAAUCCAAGGCACCCCUUUGACCUAGCCAGGGCUAAUUGCAUGAUUUAAUCAAAGAUUUUCUUGUUUUAAUCAAAGAAUUUAUUACAUUUGGAUGCACUACAUGAAUGCAAACCCUAGACCUAGGGGUAUUGGGGGAAAUUUCUCUUCAAAGGUUGAGUGGUGCCAAUCACAUUAAUUGUGAAGCCCAAUAACGAUCCUUUGAAGGAGUCACGAAUAAUGCAAGUGGGAUGCAAAUGAAUGGAAUGCAUGUAUGCAAUGUGAGGACAUGAGUUUGAAAAAGUAAUAAAAGGCAAUAAUAUGUAAGUGAAAAUGUGCACGUGAGUGGGCAAGGUGCGGUAUGUGAAAUGAUAAUAUGAAGUACAUGUGUGCGAGUGAUGAUAAAAGUGUUCGUGUGCAAGUGAAGCAACAUAAAGGUGCACGUGUGAAAAAUAGGGGGAAAAAAUGAAAUGUGAUGGGGGUAUAAAAUGAUAGAGUGGAUUUAAAAAUGCAUGAGCCUAGGGAAUUCAUGCAUAUUGGGUACGGGGAGACCUAAAUCGUGACUCAAUUUGCCCUUUUAUAGAGGGAAUACAAGCGUGCUAAGGCUUAGAAAAAGCCACACUCGUCUAUAUCCCAUAUUUAAGGGGACUCUCAAGCAAAUGAACCCUAUAACUAGCAUGAUAUGCAAAAGUCCUAAAAUGGAGGGAAAAGGGGUUCAAGGGGCAUGCAAAAUGAUAAAACUAAAAAGAAUGCAUGACAUGUAAUGAACAUGCAAACAUGUACUAACGAGGGGAAAUCCCUAAGGGUCUAGCGUUGGACUAGCCCAUUCUAUGAAUUCCGACUAGCGUUGGACUAGCGGAAACGUACAUUCAUCCAUCACAUUCAUUCAUGGCUAUCGAAAGCGAGUAGACAUGCCAAACACUCAUAAACACAUAGCACAUAACAUUUAGCAUGCUCGACUAGAUGCAAGGGCCUAACAAAGCAAAGUAACAUGUAGCAACUAAGCAUGCAAGACACAUAAAACAAUUAAAGCCCUAACUAUUACAUUUGCUAGCUAGGCACAUGACUUCGAUAGGUCUUCAUUGAAUGCUCCUCCAAGCCCUAUCUAUUACAUUAGGGAGACCCUACUACAAUCUAAAAGGGGGAAAAGGAAUAAAAUAAUUAAAUCCCUAACUAUUACAAGCCAAGAGGUGUACACAUACCCCAUAAAGAAUAACUUAAAUAAAAAGCAAAAGUAAAUGACAUAAAUAAAAGAAAUUAAAGAAAGGCUAGGAAAGCAAAGUAGACAUGUAUUUCUCACGUAGCACGUUGGUUCACAUAGGAGAGGCAAAAAAAAAAGAUAAAAGAAGUUAUACCUCCCUUGAGUUGGAGCUCUAAUGAGGUGAAACUACUAAUUUACCCUCCAAAAUAAAAGAGAUGGUCAAGGUACCAAUUUAUUUGAAGAAAUUAAAGAAAAUAGGCAAACACAAGCUCAUUCGGUCAUAAAGCCCCUAAAGUCAUGACUUAAGUGCAAUUGACAAAGCAUGGUAGCUAAUCGAAGUAAAACAAUCAAUGAGAUCGCAAAAACUAAAGCUGCCAAGGACCAAAUUGAAGACAUCAUUCAAUUGGUUGGGUCAUAGUAGAACAAAGGAGGACUUGGGGGGUCAAAAAUGCAAAUUCCACAAGGUUUCCAUGCAUGCAUACGAGGAAGAUUUAAGCUUCUGCAAUUGAGUAAAAAAAUCUUCUGCAUUUCGUUUCACAAAUGGAGAUUUAUCCAACUUCACACUGAGCAGCAAAGCCAAUAACUUUCACAAUCAACAAUCGAAAACAUAGCAGCAAACUAUACAAAUUCUGAUGAAAAAUUCAUGCAAACUCAAAGAAAAUUUCUGCAAUAGCAAGUUUCUGCAAUAUUUUGUUCUUAUGCUUUCAGCCAACAAAACAACUCCACAAUGCACAGAUUGUCUAUCAAAAAUCUGACUUUGCACAGCUUCAAACUACACAAACUACAUACCAAUCACCAUUCAAACAGGUAGACACCUUAGAUAGAUCCCCUACUCAUACAAAAAUUCUGGAAACAUACAAAAACUUGAAGAAUACAAACUGCCGUAACUUCCUGCUGCAAAUUUGCAGCUCAAACACAAACAGGCAUUUUAGCACAAAAACUCAAGAAAACCAGCAACCAAAUCGUCAUACACCCCAAGCUUCUAUUCCCAAACCCUCGAAAGAUUCACAAACUCCUUAACCAAAACCCAAAUGAAACCCAACUUUACUUAAAACAGAAAUCAGUCAGCUACGCUUUUAGAAACAGAGCAACAUCGGAUGAAAGCCAUAAAGAAACUACUAAAUCCCAUGAAACCCCCAAAACCUAGCAUCCGAUUAUCUAUAGACCCUAUUUAUAUAUAUCUUGAGCCCUCAAGACUGGACCUUUGAAACAACAGAAAUCAUCAAGGCGGAAAUGCCAACAAAAUGCAUAUGCGAUGAAGAAAACCCAUUCGGUGGUAAAAAAAAUUAUUGGGAGUAUCAGAUUAGCUAAGUAAAGGAUAAUUUAUUACCUUGUGAUGAACUUGAACGAAGUUAACAUCAAAGAGACGAACAGAUGAUACUCCACAAGAAUCUUCGCGAGUUCACCGAUGCACCGGCAGAGACGAUCUGCGACUUUGGAGGGCAGAUUUGAAGGCUUUCCUGAGGGUUUUUGUUUUUUUUUUAACAAGAUCUGAACAAGAAUUUCUCUCUUGAUGUUGGUAAGUGCACAACAAUCCACAGUUUGGUGAAUGAUGCCGAAUUUAUGGAGAAAAUCUUCGCUCAAGAGGGCUGGAUGUUCAGCCUUUUCCAAGGAAAAAACGCAGCAUGCAUUCUACCUUUGUUGCUAUCGCGUCUUGCCGUUCCUUUUUCCCAACCACUGCCCAGAUUUUCAGUCUAUCUUCCUCUCUAAUCUGAGUUUUCCUAGUUUUUUUUGGUUGUCACUCGAUGCCCCCUUUCUCUCUUCCCUCUUGCUCUCGGCUCAGCUAUCUCAGUUUUCAGCCGUCCAACCAAUUUCCUCCCUUUUUCCUUUCUUUCCGAUCCUCUCCCCUUUGCGGCUCUCCAUCCCCUUUUCUAUUUAUAUCGGAACCUCCAACCCUAAAACUCAGUCCUUUCUCCUAUAUUUGCAGCCUAAGGGGCUCCCGAGCCUUUGUUUGCAAGCUGCGUAAAAACGCAGCUUGCAUGCCGCGGCCUUCUUCUCUUUUUUUUUUUUAACUUAAUUAAACAAAAAUUGAAAAUAGUAAAAAUAAAUAACAAAACAAAUUAAUUAACAUUAGAAACAACAAUGUGCAAUUUUCAUUUUUCAUUUUCCAUUUUCAUUUUUCCUUCUUUUUUUUUUCUCUAAAUGAACCAAACGAAAGUAAAAUAAAGUAGGAAUGACUAAAAAUAGAUAAAUAUACCCAAAUAAAACAAAAUUGCUAUUUUUCUUUUUUUCCUUUUUUUCUUUUUUAUGAUUUUUCUGUUUUCCUCUUUUUUUCAAGAAAUUCUAUACUAAAACUUAAAAAUAAAAAUAAAACUAAAAACUAAAACUAACAAUCGAAUAAAACUAACACGAUAAAUAAAAAACUAAAAAUAAACAGUAAAUGAAAUUACACCAAAAAUUUGGUGUCUACAGUUUGCCCCUCUUUGUCUGAGUUUUGGAAAAACUUGAGACAAAGAAGUAGACACCAAAUACUUACCUGCGUUAUUCGGCUGCGAAUUACUCAAACGAUGGGGACUGACCCCUGACAGGAAAUUUUAAAAUCGGGACUGACCCGAGACAGAAAUUUAAACGGAAUAGACCCACGGGAUAGACCCGAAACGAAAUGUAAAUGGGAUAGACCCAGACAGAAAUGUAAAUGGGAUAGACCCAAACAGAAAAUGUAAAUGGGAUAGACCCACGGGAUAGACCCGGACAGAAAUUUAAAUGGGAUAUACCCAAACAGAAAUUUAAAUGGGAUAGACCCAAACAGAAAUUUAAAUGGGAUAGACCCACGGGAUAGACCCAAACAGAAAUUUAAAUGGGAUAGACCCAGACAAAAAAUGUAAAUGGGAUAGACCCACGGGAUAGAUCCGGACAGAAAUUUAAAUGGGAUAGACCCAAACAGAAAAAUGUAAAUGGGAUAGACCCAAACAGAAAUUUAAAUGGGAUAGACCCACGGGAUAGACCCGGAUAGAAAUUUAAAUGGGAUAGACCCAAACAGAAAAAAUGUAAAUGGGAUAGACCCAAACAGAAAUUUAAAUGGGAUAGACCCAAACAGAAAUUUAAAUCAUGGGACUGACCCGAAUAAGCUUUUAAUCAUGGGACUGACCCGAAUAAGCUUUUAAUCAUGGGACUGGCCCGAACAAAACGAAAAUCAUGGGACUGACCCGAAUAAAAUGAAAAUCGUGGGACUGACCCGAAUAAAAUGAAAAUCAUGGGACUGACCCGAAUAAAAUUUAAAUCAUGGAGUGCUCACUAGUGGGACUGACCCACGGCUAGUGGCAGAAUAAAAGGAAAUGCUCACUGGUGGGACUGACCCAACUCCAAUGGCAAUGAAAAUAAAAUGCUUACUGGCAGGACAAACCCAGCUCCAAUAGCAAUGAAAAUAAAAUGCUUACUGGCGGGACAAACCCACGCUCUAGUAGCUGUGAAAAUGAAAUGCUUACUGGCAGGACAAACCCAUGCUCCAGCAGCGGUGAAAAAUGAAUUGUUUAGACAAUCGGACAGCGGGAUCAAACCCGAGCCUGCCGUGAUGAACUUGAUUUGAUUUUUGACUUUUUGAUUUUUUGAUUUUUUUUAUUUUUGAUUUUUUGAUUUUUUUGAUUUUUUGAUUUUUCCUGACUGAGAGCGACUUGUCGAAAUAAUUUGCCUCAGUGUGAUGAAUUAGUCAGUGGGAUUAAACCCAAGCCUGCCCAAUGGGAAGUUGGUGGCACGAAAUCCAGGCCCAACGUGAUCUUGUGAAGUUGGCGGCACGAAAUCCAGGCCCAACGGGAUCUUGUGAAGUUGGCGGCAUGAAAUCCAGGCCCAACGGGAUCUUGUGAACAAGAAAUUGAAUUUGAUUUGUCAAGAAACAAGCAAUUAAAUUUGAUUUUUCAAGAAACAAGAAUUUGAACUUGAUUUUUGACUUUUGAAUUUUUUUGAAUUUUUCUGAUUUUUUGAGAGAAUCUUUUUCAAAAUAAUUUGCCCCAGUGUCGAGUCCAUUUUUCCCUCCUUCUUCUUGCUUCUCUUUGCAGUAUCGGCCUUCCGCCCCACUGGAUGCUUUUCGUCAUUUUGAACCAUGAAUACCUGUACAAGGGGUUCAUCAAAGUAUGACAUGCACGUAAAUUCCAGGAAAAGAGCAGCGGGAUUGAUCCGAAAAAUGUUAUUAUUUGAUUUUUAGACAAAAACCUCAAAUGUAUUACAAAAAAAUUUGCCCCAGUAUGGACUUAUUUCAUGAAAUCUUACAAAUAAAAUUUUGCCCCAGUGUGGGCUCCCUUGAUUGCAAAAAUUCGUUCAGAUGAUUUCCCAUUUAUUUGAACAAAGAAAAACCGUACUUUCUAAAAUUUAGAAAAGAAUGCACAUAUACAACAAUGUGAAGAAACUUUAAACAUCAAGUUUGAACUCAUGCAGAAAUUUCAUGAUGAAUUCCUCGAAGUAACACCAAAUUUAAGAAGAUUUCUUCCUCACUUUUAGCAUUGGUGUUUAGGGUAACGGGUCACAACUUCUGGUUGGCUCAUCUUUCAGGACCAAUCAAGUGACUUUAUUUUUGAAAUGGCUAAGGAAAUGGGAUGUCAGAAUCUGUCUCAUUUUUGUGCCCCAAUUGUAUGUAAUCCAUUCAAUGUCACAUCUUAGUGAAAGCAAAGAGUUUGUCACCCUUAUUUCUUAAGAAAACGUAGUCCACAUAUGAGCUUUAUAGGCUUGUAACAAUAUGGAUAACGAUAACUAAUCAUGUGGGAACAGGCUAUAGCCUUAAGAUCACAAGUGAUUGAUGGAUUUCUUAUGAGCAUAAUACUCACUUUGGAUUGUCAUGAAGGAAUAAGUCAACGAUGGACUUUAUUAGCUUGUAAUGUGGCUUGAAACGAUAGUUGAAGGAUAAGUCAAGGACAUUGCACCACAGAUCGCAUUUUUCCAAAAUUGCCCCUAUUUUGAACUCGAAGAUUCUGAACUUUGUUUGAUCACUCAAUAGGGACUUCACCAUCGAAUCUUUUGUAUUUCAUUUUUCCUUUUUGCUUUUCCGUUUUCUUUUCUUUGAUCUGGUGGGUUUUCCAUGGUGAGUAGCGUCAGCCCCCAUACUCAAGCAAUUCAGAAAUACAGCUAAAAUUUUCCAGCAUCAGAAAUUUUCUUGACAGGGCCAUUGCAAAGAACAGAAGUCAGGACUUUCGGUUUUUGUAAUGGGGUCAGGUGUGGUGUUUUAGAAAAGUUAAGGCUUGAAGGCAGAUUUUAAAAAUGGUUUAAGUAAUCUGAGAUCGCAUUGUUGUGCCAACCCUAUUUUAGGGUUAAAUCAAGACUUUGCCCCAGUUUAUGCUUAAUUGAGGCUUUUUCUCUUUCAUUUUCUUUCUUCUUUUGAUUUUUUUUGGCUUUCUACCAUUUUUGAACUUUCACAAAAUUUGCCCCAGUUUAUUUUUUGAACUGAGGUUCUCUUUUCUCUUUUCCUUUUGAUUUUGUUGCAUUGUCACUUUUCACUUCUUGAAACUUUUUCCUUUUCAAUUCAAACUUGCCCCCAGUGUGGGGUUUGCGAUUCUCAGGGGUUGCCAAACGAAAUAAUUUAUUCUGAUGGCUCAAAAGGGAUAACUAGGGAUAGAAUGUUUGAUUGGAAAAGAAGAGGGCCUGACUUUUGCUCCGUCCCUUACAAUAACUCUGAAAGGAAACUUUCGUUAAUGGGAAAUGUUUUUGCAUGUAUCUGAAUUAACCGACUGAGGAAGACCCUUGUUCAUCCAUAUUUGUGAAACAUAGGCGGUCCGUGCGGACAAAUCUCUUCCUUUUCUUCUCUUUUUUUUUUUCAAAAUUCUCCAAUCUCCUUCCCCAAUGUGGGGUGCGAUCAUAUGUACAAUCGAAAAGAACCACCAAUUUUUAGCUCAAAUGAGGAUGCAAGGGAUGAUUAGUGUUUAGGUUGUAGAAAUGACGGCCAAAGUAUCAUUCUUACACCUCAUGACAACCAAAGUAACGAAAUGGUCAUUGAAAAUCCAUUUCCUUUUGAUAUUUGAAAAAUUUUCCAAUAAAGGGUAGUGAUCAUCAAGGCGUUUAUUUGGAACGAAAUUAUUCUUUUAUAGGCUCAAAUGGGAGAGCAAAUGAUAAAAUGUGUAUAGGUAGAGAAAAGAAUGCUCAAAGUAUCAUUCCAAAUUUUCAAAACAAACAAGAAUAAUGCACAUUUUUGCUUUUCACUUAGAUGUGAAUUGAAUAUCAUUAAACACAGUGGAUGUUUCUCAAGCAAAGAUUGCCCCAACUUGCAAUUCAUCAAUCAAUGUGACCGAUUUUAUUUUGGGAUUAAGUGAAGGAGAAAGGCAUCUCAUCGGGCCUUUUGAGUGGCCAUUCACCCUUUUCCGAGCACUCUUAUUGUAUAGCUCAGAUUACCAACCUAGUGUACAUGAGGAUUUUUAGAGAGUAUACACUUGUGAAAUUCAGGUUAUAGGUUCGAAAAAAUCCCAAUUUGGUCUUAUUUCUCAAAAUUUAUCAUGAAAUCUCCAAUGAGUAAGAAUAAAGGAUGAAAUGUACAUAAAUAUACACAAAACAAUAAUUGUCCAAAAAUUUUAUUGCUGAAACAGUUUGAAACAAAAUUCCUCAUUCAAUUAUGAUACAAAUGAGAAAAGAGAAACUUGUAAAGGGCUCCUCGUAUACACUUUUCAUUUCCUUUUCUUUUGAAACAAAAUGUAUUAACAAAUCAAAUAAACAGAAUUUCCCUUUGGAAGACAAUUACAACAUCUCUUAGAGGCUUUAGCGUAGAGCUUCCAGAUAAAUCAUUUAUGUUUUCAUUGUAGGAUCUGCCCAAGAAUCAAGUAAUACUUGUAAUCUUCAAGCUUUAUUGGAUCAAAAUUAUCAGAUAUAGAAGAAUAUUUUCGCCUUAUUGAAACAUUUUUAUGAAUGCAAGGGAGGGGGGAAACAAAAGAAAAAUACCCUGAGUUAGUAAGAAAGAAUAUAAAAUCGGUAUGCAUGUCCUAUGGGGGGAGCCCUUUUGUGCCAAGGGUAGGCCUAGCAUGAAAAUGCAAUCCUCUAUGGUAGGCACUAUACCAUACCUGAUGGAUCCGAUCAACUUAUUGAGUGACAAAUAAAUUUGAAAAAUUUGGUCAAUUGGAGUGACGAAAGUCAUUUGUCAAAAUGAGGGCAACGUCCGAAUGGAUUGAUCACUUUUGAUCGAUACAAGAACUUGCAAAAACGCACGGGUUUGACCUUGACGAACCUUCUAUAGAAGAGAUUGGAAUUCGUUUUGACAACUUUUCUCAGUGAAGCACAGGUCAAAAACUCCAACUGAUCAAAUGGCUGGAUGCAAUGGAUGUUUUUCUCAAAAUCGACUAGGUUUUCCAUUUUGAAAUUCGACAUUGAAAUCCUAAUUGGUCAAAUGGGUUGAAUGAAAUUGACAAUUUAUUUAAAAUCGACCAGAUUAACCUAAAAAGGGAAACUAGUCAAAUGAAUUGAGUGGAAUUUAAUAACUUACUCAAAAUGGACCAAAUCAUCCUAAAAAAGGAACUUGAUCGAAUGAAAUUGAGAAUUUUAUUCAACAUCGACCGGAUCAUCCUAAAAAAUGACAUUAGUUAAAUGAAUUGAAUGAAAUCGAGAAUUUAUUCAAAAUUGACCAGAUUGCCCUAAAAAUGAGUGAAUUGGCCAAAUGAAAAUGAAAAUUUAUUCAGAAAUCGACCGGAUGACCCUAAAAAGGGUAAAUUGGUCAAAUGAGUUGAUGAUUUAUUCAAAAAUCGACCGGAUGACCCUAAAAAGGGUAAAUUGGUCAAAUGACCCUAAAAAGGGUAAAUUGGUCAAAUGAAUUGACGAUUUAUUGAAUGAAUUGGCAAAAUGGAUUGGUUGAAUUGUCCGGCCAUUGGUUAUUUCAAAAUUAUUAAGGCACAUUAGUCUAUGACCUUCUAAAAAUCAAAUUUUGGCCUCAAUUUAUUUAUCGUCUCAAUAGGAGGAAUCAUUCGUGAAUUUUCUUCAAAUUAAUAUCCUUUUACGCAAGGGAUUUUUACCAACUUGGCCAAAAAGUGAUUAUUAGAUGCUCAUAUUCCAAAGGUCACUCUAUGAAAAUGAUCGAAUCCUACCUUACCUUGUGCACUACCUCUUUGGAUGGUACAAAAUGUAAACGUGCAAGUUUCACUGGAUUAAGUAUCCGAGACACAAGGUGGCUUAUUCCUAAACACGGGAUUCCCUAUGUGGCAUUCCCUUUCUAGGAUUUAUGCAUGAUGCCAUUUUUAUCAAAGCAAGAAAAAAAAUGCAAUUCAAAAUGAAACGUGAACUAAGGAACCCUUUGUCUGCCAGGGUAGGCCUAAAAUGGUAUGACAUUAUUAAUUUAUGAACGAAAUAUACCAAAAUUGCUUAAACGUGCACUAUCCUAUCUACACGGGUAGGCUUCUAAAAGAAGGUCAUGCCAGACCUCUUAUUUGCUAGGGUUUGUGAAUGCAACGGGGACACAAAACCAAGAAAAGUUAGCGCAAUCAGAUAAAUACACAUAACACAUUGUAGCAACGAAAUCAACACAAGGAAAUAAAGCAAUAAAAAGAAGAAAGGGGUUGGACCCCUCCCCUCGUGAAUAGUGUCCCUAAUAGGGUAAGGCUGACUCUACCCUAGGCAAGCUAAAAUGGAUGCAUGAGGUUGGGGCUCACUAAUGCAUCUAGACUCGAUAGGUCAUAGGUCCCCGAGCCUUCAGACUUGGAAACCAAGGGUCAUCACUCCCAAGGUUCCUUGUCGGUGGCUCGAGCGAUUCCCCAGACGUUGCUACGCACACAUCGUGUUACGGCUACCCGUCUGGGCGAAUCUAAAAAGAAUCCUCAACCUUCGACUAAAAACUAAUAGGUCAUUAACCUAAAGUUUAAAGCGGAAGAUCGAGUGACCCCUCGGAUCACGCUACGCGCACGUCGUGUCACGAUCACAUGUCCAAGUGGGUCGCCGAAUCCUAGUAGGGUGGAGUGGCGUGACAAGCCACUAAAAGAAAAAUAAAUGAAGGGAUAAAAAAUAAAGCGUAUGCUCGUAUGCUAGUGCUCGUUUGGAGGGGAGGGAUCAAGAACCAACGUGAGGCUCUAAGGUAUGUCCCCCACCCAAAUGCAAUGCAAAGCGCGGAAUCACAUACAUAAACCAUUCAUCAAUUAAAACAAACGUACGCCAAAUGAGUAAGUGAGGGAGUUGGUACGCGUGAAAUGCAAAAUCCUAAUAAAAGGAAAAAUGCAACCCUAAAACACCCAAAUGUGAUAUAUGAAAAGAUUAAAAGAAGAAAAAGAUUGAUUAAAUCAAAUUUGCUCGGACUCUCGAAUAUCCCCAGUGGAGUCGCCAACUGUCGCGCCCCAUUUUUGAUAAAUAAAUAAAUGGUUUGAAAAAAUGUAUUUUUUGAUUCAAUUUGUGAUUGAAAAAUGAAUUGUGAUUUAAAAGAAAAAUGGGUCUAAAUGGGGGUUUGAGAAUGCGACGAUUUGACCCAAAAUUAUAGUUUAAAAAGGGUUUUUCGAAACAAAAUACGGAGUCGCCACUUGGUAAUGAGUUAAGGUGUACCAAGUCACCCAAAAAAAGAUUUUUUUGUUUUUUGAGGAAAAAUAGGAAAAAGUAGGAAGAAACCCCUUUUAAACGACUCCUAGUCCACGUAAACCAAAGAAAAAGGUUCGGGAGUCACAUUUGACAAAGGGGAAGGCAAGGAUAAAAUCCAAGGCACCCCUUUGACCUAGCCAGGGCUAGUUGCAUGAUUUAAUCAAAGAUUUUCUUGUUUUAACCAAAGAAUUUAUUACAUUUGGAUGCACUACAUGAAUGCAAACCCUAGACCUAGGGGUAUUGGGGGAAAUUUCUCUUCAAAGGUUGAGUGGUGCCAAUCACAUUAAUUGUGAAGCCCAAUAACGAUCCUUUGAAGAAAUUACGAAUAAUGCGAGUGGGAUGCAAAUGAAUGGAAUGCAUGUAUGUAAUGUGAGGACAUGAGUUUGAAAAAGUAAUAAAAGACAAUAAAUAUGUAAAUGAAAAUGUGCACGUGAGUGGGCAAGGUACGGUAUGUGAAAUGAUAAUAUGAAGUGCAUGUGUGCAAGUGAUGAUAAAAGUGUUCGUGUGCAAGUGAAGAAACAUAAAGGUGCACGUGUGCAAAAUGGGAGGAAAAAUGAAAGUGUGAUGAGGAUAUAAAAUGGUAGAGUGGAUUUAAAAAUGCAUGAGCCUAGGGAAUUCAUGCAUAUUGGGUACGGAGAGACCUAAAUCGUGACUCAAUUUGCCCUUUUAUAGAGGGAAUACAAGCGUGCUAAGGCUUAGAAAAAGCCACACUCGUCUAUAUCCCAUAUUUAAGGGGACUCUCAAGCAAAUGAACCCUAUAACUAGCAUGAAAUGCAAAAAUCCUAAAAUGGAGGGAAAAGGGGUUCAAGGGGCAUGCAAAAUGAUAAAACUAAAAAGAAUGAUGACAUGUAAUGAACAUGCAAACAUGUACUAACGAGGGGAAAUCCCUAAGGGUCUAGCGUUGGACUAGCCCAUUCUAUGAAUUCCGACUAGCGUUGGACUAGCGGAAACGUACAUUCAUCCAUCACAUUCAUUCAUGGCUAUAGAAAGCGAGUAGACAUGCCAAACACUCAUAAACACAUAGCACAUAACAUUUAGCAUGCUCGACUAGAUGCAAGGCCCUAACAAAGCAAAUUAACACGUAGCAACUAAGCAUGCAAGACACAUAAAACAAUUAAAACCCUAACUAUUACAUUUGCUAGCUAGGCACAUGACUUCGAUAGGUCUUCAUUGAAUGCUCCUCCAAGCCCUAUCUAUUACAUUAGGGAGACCCUACUACAAUCUAAAAGGGGGAAAAGGAAUAAAAUAAUUAAAUCCCUAACUAUUACAAGCCAAGAGGUGUACACAUACCCCAUAAAGAAUAACUUAAAUAAAAAGCAAAAGUAAAUGACAUAAAUAAAAGAAAUUAAAGAAAGGCUAGGAAAGCAAAGUAGACAUGUAUUUCUCACGUAGCACGUUGGUUCACAUAGGAGAGGCAAAAAAAAAAGAUAAAAGAAGUUAUACCUCCCUUGAGUUGGAGCUCUAAUGAGGUGAAACUACUAAUUUACCCUCCAAAAUAAAAGAGAUGGUCAAGGUACCAAUUUAUUUGAAGAAAUUAAAGAAAAUAGGCAAACACAAGCUCAUUCGGUCAUAAAGCCCCUAAAGUCAUGACUUAAGUGCAAUUGACAAAGCAUGGUAGCUAAUCGAAGUAAAACAAUCAAUGAGAUCGCAAAAACUAAAGCUGCCAAGGACCAAAUUGAAGACAUCAUUCAAUUGGUUGGGUCAUAGUAGAACAAAGGAGGACUUGGGGGGUCAAAAAUGCAAAUUCCACAAGGUUUCCAUGCAUGCAUACGAGGAAGAUUUAAGCUUCUGCAAUUGAGUAAAAAAAUCUUCUGCAUUUCGUUUCACAAAUGGAGAUUUAUCCAACUUCACACUGAGCAGCAAAGCCAAUAACUUUCACAAUCAACAAUCGAAAACAUAGCAGCAAACUAUACAAAUUCUGAUGAAAAAUUCAUGCAAACUCAAAGAAAAUUUCUGCAACAGCAAGUUUCUGCAAUAUUUUGUUCUUAUGCUUUCAGCCAACAAAACAACUCCACAAUGCACAGAUUGUCUAUCAAAAAUCUGACUUUGCACAGCUUCAAACUACACAAACUACAUACCAAUCACCAUUCAAACAGGUAGACACCUUAGAAAGAUCCCCUACUCAUACAAAAAUUCUGGAAACAUACAAAAACUUGAAGAAUACAAACUGCCGUAACUUCCUGCUGCAAAUUUGCAGCUCAAACACAAACAGGCAUUUUAGCACAAAAACUCAAGAAAACCAGCAACCAAAUCGUCAUACACCCCAAGCUUCUAUUCCCAAACCCUCGAAAGAUUCACAAACUCCUUAACCAAAACCCAAAUGAAACCCAACUUUACUUAAAACAGAAAUCAGUCAGCUACGCUUUUAGAAACAGAGCAACAUCGGAUGAAAGCCAUAAAGAAACUACUAAAUCCCAUGAAACCCCCAAAACCUAGCAUCCGAUUAUCUAUAGACCCUAUUUAUAUAUAUCUUGAGCCCUCAAGACUGGACCUUUGAAACAACAGAAAUCAUCAAGGCGGAAAUGCCAACAAAAUGCAUAUGCGAUGAAGAAAACCCAUUCGGUGGUAAAAAAAAUUAUUGGGAGUAUCAGAUUAGCUAAGUAAAGGAUAAUUUAUUACCUUGUGAUGAACUUGAACGAAGUUAACACCAAAGAGACGAACAGGUGAUACUCCACAAAAAUCUUCGCGAGUUCACCGAUGCACCGGCAGAGACGAUCUGCGACUUUGGAGGGCAGAUUUGAAGGCUUUCCUGAGGGUUUUUGUUUUUUUUUAACAAGAUCUGAACAAGAAUUUCUCUCUUGAUGUUGGUAAGUGCACAACAAUCCACAGUUUGGUGAAUGAUGCUGAAUUUAUGGAGAAAAUCUUCGCUCAAGAGGGCUGGAUGUUCAGCCUUUUCCAAGGAAAAAACGCAGCCUGCAUUCUACCUUUGUUGCUAUCGCGUCUUGCCGUUCCUUUUUCCCAACCACUGCCCAGAUUUUCAGUCUAUCUUCCUCUCUAAUCUGAGUUUUCCUAGUUUUUUUUGGUUGUCACUCGAUGCCCCCUUUCUCUCUUCCCUCUUGCUCUCGGCUCAGCUAUCUCAGUUUUCAGCCGUCCAACCAAUUUCCUCCCUUUUUCCUUUUUUUCCGAUCCUCUCCCCUUUGCGGCUCUCCAUCCUCUUUUCUAUUUAUAUCGGAACCUCCAACCCUAAAACUCAGUCCUUUUUCCUAUAUUUGCAGCCUAAGGGGCUCCCGAGCCUUUGUUUGCAAGCUGCGUUUUUACGCAGCUUGCAUGCCGCGGCCUUCUUCUCUUCUCUUUUUUUUUUAACUUAAUUAAACAAAAUUGAAAAUAGUAAAAAUAAAUAACAAAACAAAUUAAUUAACAUUAGAAACAACAAUGUGCAAUUUUCAUUUUUCAUUUUCCAUUUUCAUUUUUCCUUCUUUUUUUUUCUCUAAACGAACCAAACGAAAGUAAAAUAAAGUAGGAAUGACUAAAAAUAGAUAAAUAAACCCGAAUAAAACAAAAUUGCUAUUUUUCUUUUUUUCCUUUUUUCCCUUUUUAUGAUUUUUCUUUUUUCCUCUUUUUUUCAAGAAAUUCUAUGCUAAAACUUAAAAAUAAAAAUAAAACUAAAAACUAAAACUAACAAUCGAAUAAAACUAACACGAUAAAUAAAAAACUAAAAAUAAACAGUAAAUGAAAUUACACCAAAAAUUUGGUGUCUACAGUUAUUAUCAGUUGAGGAUUUUGAAAAAAAAUAUAUCUAAAACUACUUUUAACUCAAGGUAAAGACACUUUGAGUUUGCAGUAAUGCCAUUUGGAUUGACUAAUGCUCUUGCAGCUUUUAUGGAUUUAAUACACCGUAUCUUUAAACCUUAUCUGGACCAGUUUGUAGUGGUAUUUAUUGACGAUAUACUGGUGUAUUCUAAAACUCUGGAGGAUCGUGAGAAACAUUUGAUAAUUGUUUUGCAAACCUUGAGAGAACAUCAGUUAUAUGCUAAGUUUAGCAAAUGUGAAAUCUGGUUGAAGGAAGUAACCUUCUUAGGUCAUAUAAUCUCUAAGGACAGAAUUAAGGUAGAUUCGGCUAAAGUUGAAGUAGUUUCUAAGUGGAAUCAACUGGAAAAUCCUACUGAAAUUCGAAGUUUCUUAGGGUUAGCAAGGUAUUACCGGAUGUUUAUCAGAGAUUUUUCUAGAAUUGCGGGACUCAUGACUGAGUUGAUUAAGAAAAGUGAAAAAUUUAUAUGGAGCCCUAAGUGUGAAGAAAGUUUUCAGGAGUUAAAGAAACGGUUAACAAGGACACCUAUAUUAGUGUUAUCUAAUGAAAAAGAUAGCUUUGUGUUUAUACAGAUGCUUCAAAAGAAGGUUUGGGGUGUGUAUUGAUGCAGAAUGAUAAGGUGAUUGCGUAUGCCUCUAGGAAGUUAAAACCUCACGAGAGAAAUUAUCCAACUCACGAUUUGGAGUUAGCGGCUAUAGUGUUUGCAUUGAAGAAGUGGAGAUAUUACCUAUAUGGAGUGACGUUUGAGGUUUUUACCGACCACAAGAGCCUUAAGUACUUGUUUUCCCAAAAAGAGUUAAACUUGAGACAACGUAGAUGGGUGAAAUUUUUUGAAGAUUAUCAUUGCACAAUAAAUUAUCACCCAGGGAAAGCUAAUGUAGUGGCUGAUGCUUUAAGUCGCCAAGUGCAAGUAGCAGAAUUGAUGAUUAAUGAUUUGCACUUGUUAUAAGAGGUUAGUAUUUGAAACUCUCGUCUCGAAUCGAGAAAAGUGAUUCUUGAGAACAUUGUCGUGAAAUCUGUUUUGUUAGAUUGUAUCAAGGAAGUACAAGAGAAGGAUUUUGAGGUGCAAAAGAGGUUGGAAAAAGUUAACAAGGGGAAAAAGUCGGAUUUUAAUUUAAAAAUAAAUGGUGUACUAAGGUUUCGAAACCGCAUAGUGGUGCCAAAGGAUGAAGGGCUAAAAAGAAAAAUCUUAGAAAAACGCAUUGAUCUAAGUAUACGGUACACCCUGAAAGAAAUAAAAUGUACCAAGAUUUGAAGAGUCUGUACUGGUGGGAGGACAUGAAGAAGGAAAUUGCUCGGUUUGUCCAAACUUGUUUGAUUUGCAGCAGGUUAAAGCCGAGCAUCAGAAACCGUCUGAUUUACUGCAACCUUUAGAGAUACCCGAGUGGAAAUGAAAAAAUAUCACCAUAAAUUUUGUAUCUGGAUUACCAAGAAUACAAAGAGGUCACGACGCUACUUGGGUGAUAGUAGAUAGAUUGACCAAAUCUGCUCAUUUUCUGCCGAUUAGUAUGAAGUACCCAUUAGAGAACAAAGAUAUAUUUGGAUGAGAUUAUAAGGCUACAUAGGAUACCUUUAAGUAUUGUAUCUAACCGAGACUCUUGAUUUAUUUCUCAAUUCUAGCAGAAAAUGCAAGAAAUGUUAGGAACUAAGUUGAGUUUUAGCACUACAUACCUCUCAGACUGACGGACAGUCAGAAAGGACAAUUCAGACCCUUGAGGACAUGCUGAGAAUCUGAAUUUUAGAUUUCAGAGAAAGUUGAAGUAAGUAUUCGACAUUGGUGGAGUUUGCAUAUAAUCCAUUCAAAUGGCUCCAUAUGAAGCACUUUAUAGCCGGAAGUGUAGAUCUUCGAUAUAUUGGGAUGAAAUAGGUGAAAGAAAUAUUUUAGAUACAAUUGCAGUACCAUGGAUUGAAGAGGCAUAUGAAAAAGUGAAGUUAAUAUGUCAAAAGAUUCAGAUAGCCAAGAGCCGUCAAAAGAGCUAUUCAGAUAACUAAAGGAAGGAUUUGGAGUUUUCGGCUAGAGAUCAAGUUUUCUUAAGAUCACGCCUCUGAAAGCAAGUUUGAUGGCACGAAAAGAAAAGAAAUUGCAACCGAAAUUUGUAGGAUCUUAUAAGAUUCUUCAACAUGUGAGAAACGUGGCCUAUAAGUUGGAACUGCCAUCAAGUUUGUCUCGAAUUCAUAAUAUUUUCCACGUGCCUAUGCUCAAGAAGUACCACCCAGAUCCCUCUCAUGCACUACAACCAAAAGAUAUUGAGAUUGACGAGGCACUAACAUAUAAGGAGAAACCGGUGAAGCUUUUAGAUCGUAAGGUGAAGGAAUUAAGAAAGAAUCGAAUUCCUCUGGUGAAAGUCCUAUGAAGGAAUCACGGAAUAGAGGAAGCAACUUGGGAAGUAGAGAAGGAGAUUCGAAAGAAAUAUCCAGAUCUAUUUCCGAAUCAAAGUAUGAAUUUUGCAAACGAAAUUCUCUUAAAGAGGAGAGGAUGUGAGGACUCAUGUUUUAUUUCUUAAUUUAGUCAUUUUAUAAAUUAUUUGCCCCAAUGUUAUUUAAUUAUCCUAGUAUUGCAUGAAUUUCCCUUAAAUUUCAUUUUUUUCGCGCGCGUCGAAAGUUUCUCGGAAGUCAUGCUGGUCCGAUUAAUUGGAGAAUUGAGCAAUUUGUAUUAGACUUGUAAGUGUGAGUAAUUACACUGUUAGAGGAAUUACCUUGGAGGAUUAGUGUAUAAGUAUACCAAACAAAAGAAAAAAGUAGUAGUACAAAACCCCAUUUCAUGCUAUUGAGGAUUGCACACUUUAUGACUACCUUUUUCAUUAUUUCCUUCCAAGAAACCAAACCACAAAACCCUCACACUCUCUCUCCUAACUUUUGGCUGACCCAAAGGAAAAGAAAAGGGAAGAGAAAGGCUUCAACUUCUUGCUCCAAGUUUGCUUGAUUCACUCCAUCCAACUCACAAUUCCUUGGGUUUUUGCUCCAACUAGAAGAAAGGUGAAAGCUUGAGGUGUUGCUUGGUGAUUUUUGUGACGAUCCCACCUCCCCCUAGGGCGUACCCCAGGGUUUAGCAGACCGCUUGCCCAGCUCUCGUCAUGAGUCACUCACUCACUUCAAAUGUAAUAGGUUAUAACCUCAAGAGUAAAAGAAAUACCAAAAGGAAUACCAGUUUCCAAACUUGGAACAUACAUGUACAUUCAUUUCUAUUUCAAACAUUCGUACAAUCCCACAUAUAUCAAAAGAUGUGAGUUUUAGAUACAUUCAGUCCUAAUCGAACACUAGUGCGAGUACAAUCGCAAAAUUCAAAAACUAUUAGACUACGCUAGUCUAUACCAGUCUCACGCCUCGCUCGUACCCUCUGUAAGGAAAACAAAUGGCGUGGAAUGAGCUAAAAGUCCGGUGAGGUUUCGUAUAGCAAGUUGACCAUUAUUGAAAAGUACAAAUAUCACGUAGCAAAAUAGCGAGCAUAACAAGUUCAUGAAAGUGAGCAAUAAUACUUCAAAUAGCAAAUGUCAAAAUGAGCGAGUGAAAACUCUUCUUAUUUUCCAAAAGAACGAUAACACUUCGAAUUACAAUCAAUGUAUAAGGAUAUAGAUGGCUCUCAGGAGCCAAAUUCCCAUUUCUUCACCAGAGCUUGAUCAAGUAUUAGUUGAGACUCCGUCAACUUUCAAGUAAAGUAACUAGUCCAGUAGUACACCACUUAACUCCAAUCUCCAUCCACCAACCAAACCCCUUACCGGGCCCGAACUCCACGAUAAACACUGGUGAUAAUAAUCGAGCAUACCGAUUAGUCAAGGAGAUAACACUCCAUUCGACAACAUUAGAUACCCCUGGUUCAUUAUCUAAUCGACCAACCCUUUGCCGACUCGACUCGAUUAACUAGCUAAUGGGGUUUGGGUCCCCAAAAAGUCGAUGAGAUAACACUCAAAUCGACUGAAUCAAAAUAAAAGUACGGAGACGGGAAUGAGAGGUACCUCCCACUCACAUUGAGUGUGGUACAUGCUGCCGCUCAACACUUAUAAGUCAAGUACAAGUAUAUCAAGUCAAUUGCAACAAUAAACAAGUAUAUAUCAUAUUAGGGCAAGUGCGAUAAAGUACACUCUUGCUCAAUCAAACAAAUUACAUAUCAUUUGAUCACAUUGGUCAAGUAUUGAAAACAAGUGUCAAGUUCAAUCAGGUAUUUGGAAGCACUCACCAAAGGUCUAGUGCCUCUCAAAAGUCACGUUCAGGUCCAACUCCUUGGUUGGAGUCCAAAUCUGCGAUAAAAUAUCAUUUACAAAUAUAAAACUCUCUAGAGUUCGAAACAUAGGGGUUUCGCUUCAAGAAAAUCAAGUAAAUGCAACUCGUUUAAGUAAUAUUCAAGAUAUUUAACAAAUUUUAAAUUCAUGCUCGCUCGUUUAGUUAUGAUCACGAAGUGGUUUCAACUUUAGAAGUUGUACUUGGUAUCAAAUAUCGGAAAAAUCAUAUUUUGAAAGGGUCAUUACUUUCACUUUUCAAGGGUACGAGUUCUGACAAAAUUUAGCUUAUAUAUCUUGACUAAAGAAAACUCGAAUACCAUAGGCGAUUCGAGUCUAACUUGACCUCAAAUCAUCGUUCAAAUCGUGAGUACAUAUGCCUAACACUCGAGUGAAAAUUUGAACAGCAUGCCCUUUGUAUUUAGCUAUUUUCCAGCCAUUUAUGGCUUCAUUAUUUUUCUUAAUUCGGCCCAAAAUCAAGGUAGUAAGCUGUCCCAAAUUUUGGACAGCAUGAUCCCUUUUUUGUCCUAUUUUUUCCUUUCCAAAUUCAAUACAAAAUUUCAUGGCCAAACCAUCCAAAUCAAGAGCACAAGUGAUAGGGUAUACAAGCUACUAAUUUCACACUGUAAAUCCACCAAAAAUAAACAAGUAUUUAGCUCACAUAUCUCUAUACCAAGGCUGGCUGUCAAGCAAACGUUCAACUCCACAAGCUUAAAUUUCCAUAAGCAAACUAAUGGAACAUAUGCAAGUUGGAAAAAUUACAUGACAUGGCUAAAAUAUAUAGUAAACAUGAUAUUAGCAUUUUAACACUCAUUUUCAUUUUCCUUAACUAAAACGGGAAAUUUAUUGCUUGGGACAUGAAACAUGUAAAAGUGAAGUUUUCACCUCUCAAAACCUUUCAUUUUCUAUCCAAUUCACUACUCAUACCAAAGUUAAUGUUUAAUCAUGUGUUUAGGACAUUAAUAAGUUGAUUUCACCACACAAAACCAAGAAUAAAGUUAAACAAAAUCACUCUCUCUUUCGAUCAGCCUCAAGGAGAAUUCUAGCCAUGAAAACAGUGAAAUAAAUGGAGUUUAAACCACUUAAGGCCCAUGGUUUUGGUUCAUUUCCAACACAUACUUGUAGUUUAAAGUCUUCUAGGGUGUUUUGAACAAAUUGAGCUUAAAAUCAUCUUGAAAAUUUAGCUAUCAAAGCUAAAAUUCCAGCAAGCAUUCUUUCUUUGGAAAAAUCAUAACUUAAGUUAUACAUGUCAAAAACUCAUACAAAUUAUCUCGUUUAAAACUAGACUUGAAAUACUAACAAUCUUUAGCAGACAUCUCAUGGAGAUUUGGUUCAUAAGUUAAUCCAAAUUGAGUCACAAGUUACCACAGCAUCCCAAUUUUUACGUGUUCAGGACCGAUUUUUCAGUCAACUUUGCUGAUUUUCUGGUGCAUAUAUAAAAUGAACCACAGCUCCAAUUUUAUACCAUUGGAAAGAUCUAUGAGUCUAGUUUCAAACGCAAUUGACAGUACUCAAUUUUGAUUUUUCUACACUAAGUUAUGAUUCGUUUACUAAAACUGCCCAGGGGUGACUGUCACCCAAAAUUUCAACCUUUCACUUGAGUUAUUCCAACUUUAUUGCUGCCAAUAACUCACACUUAAUCUAGCAAUUUGCUACCCAAUUCAAAGACAACAUACUAUAGCAUACUAAACAAGAAAUAUAACAUUUAGAGCAUGACUUCCUAGUAGAAACUUCUCAAAGGGAUGAGAUAGCAGGCUGUGACAAGGAUGGAACAAAGUUCCUCCAAUUUUUCUCAAGCUCUCUUAGACAAAUUUUCAGCCAAAUCAAUGAACAUACAACUAUUAUUCAACCAUAUAAACAUACUAACUUCUAUAUACACAGUUGUCAUGAUAUAAAACAUGAAAUCUUAGCAAAACUUCACUCCAACUUUAAAGUAAAACUAAUAUAUCCAACUUUAUGCAAUCGAUCAGCCCACAGAUUUUUUUCCAAACAGGUUCCUUCAAACUUUCUUUCAUCCAAGCCACUAAUUUCUCACUCAUUUUCAUGGCAAAUACACCAUAUAUCAUUUUUAACAUAAGAUGAAACAUAUGACCUGAGUUCUUAGUAAGGAAAACCAUCAGAGUUCCAAAUACAAAGCUACAAAUAAAAACUAUCAGCAUUUGUCACUAAAUUAAAAUUCCAGCAACCUAUAACUUAGAAAAGUAUAUUUUUCUUCCACUAAACUCCUACCUCUUGGCUUAAAUUUAACAUACAUCAAAAGCCCUCUAAAGUAUGUGAAAGAAAUUGAAGUUCCAAAUCAUGUUACCUUUAAAACAAGCUAGAAGUUAACUCCCCAGUUUUGGUCCUUCUACUCAAUCAAGCAAGCUGGAAAUGGAAGUAAGACACAAGCUUCCUUUCAGUUUUCUCUCUCUCGUUGCUCUUGGCUGAAGUGGAAGCAAAACAAGAGAAAUUUCUUUAUUUUCUCUCAAGCUUCUCUCGGAUGGAAGGUUGGAGCAGGACACAAAUCUUU